GCAUUUCUUUCGAGUCCUCACUGCUCCAAUAUGAGACAAAUGAAUCCUGUAUGUUAUACUGAUCCUCAUUGUCUUGAUCUAGCUUGAAAGUAAAGUUUCCAGGUGCCGGGUCAACAGAACUCAGCCAUGAAGUCAAUAUUAAGUUUUCAUCCAUCUUCAUCCCAGGAAGAAAAGUAUCUGUAGGAUGAUCGAAGCUCUCCCAAAGAAUUAUCCCUGAUCUGUUGUCACUCAAAACAAGGUUCCCAGAGUCCAUGAGCUUCACCACCCUCCCUGUUGAUGAAUAUGUUGCAAUAUCAGAAGACCAGUGAACUGUCCCAUUUGCAUCCAAUACCUUGAGCUCACCAUCUUCUUUAAUGGCAAAAACUCCAGAGGGGGUAUCAGAAAGGGGAAGGGGUUUCUUUCGGUUGGCCACCCAUACAACGCUUCGUGGUUUCGACUUGUAAUACCAUAUGCCCACGAAUCUUCCAAUCUUGGAGCUUCCAUUUGGAUUAAAGAAGCCAAGUUCAAAGGUUUUGCCUGCAGAAACAACAGUUUCUCCAUCAUCACUAAGCCAGUCCUCCGGUGUGAUGGUAUCUCUAGCAGAGCAAUACAGGACAGAACACAAGACGAAAAAGAUGGUAGAUAGCAUGUGAGUUGCAGAGACAGGAACCAUGAAUUUUCUUCUUAUCAUUUUGCCUCUUUUUAGAGCUGUGUCCUCAAAUCUAUAGUUUUUAGUGGAGACUUUUCCUCUUGACCCUGAGUGGAGCAAAGUCACGUACUGUUCUUAGUCUUCCUCCCGCAAACCAAAUAAGGGUUGUCCUUUUGUACCCACUAUUUAUUUUGGACCUACCUACCCUCGUUUCAGGACUUUUCUUAAUAGUACGGUAAUUUAAAAAAAUUAUGCUUAAAUUAUUGUAGUAGAAAAAGUUAUUACAAAUAUAUGGUAGUUUUUGCCACCUAGGAGAGAGGAGAUAGGAGAGAAAAGAGAGGGUGAACAGAUAAUUUUUUUUUUAAACCAAAAUCAUCUUUUCAAAUUUCAAAAGACGAAAUCGUCUUUUCAAAAGACGAUUUUAAAAAAAUUUCAAAAGGGAAAUCGUCUCUUUAAGAGACGAGUUCCCAUGAAAAAAAAUAUAUAUUUUUUUUUUAAAAAUUCCCAAAUUAUAAAAAAAAUAAAAAAAUAAAAAAUUCCUCAAGGGAACUCGUCUCUUCAAGAGACGAAUUCCCAUGAAAAAAAAAAAAUCCUCAAGGGAACUCGUUUCUUCAAAAAUAUAUAUAUAUAUAUAUAUAUAUAUAUAUAUAUAUAUAUAUUUAUAUAUAUAUAUAUAUAUAUAUUUAAAAAAUUCCCAAAUUAUAUUUAAAAAAAAAAAAAAAAAACAAUUCAUCAAGGAAACUUGUCUCUUGAAGAAAUUAAAAAAAAAAAAAGAAUUCCCAAAUUNNNNNNNNNNNNNNNNNNNNNNNNNNNNNNNNNNNNNNNNNNNNNNNNNNNNNNNNNNNNNNNNNNNNNNNNNNNNNNNNNNNNNNNNNNNNNNNNNNNNNNNNNNNNNNNNNNNNNNNNNNNNNNNNNNNNNNNNNNNNNNNNNNNNNNNNNNNNNNNNNNNNNNNNNNNNNNNNNNNNNNNNNNNNNNNNNNNNNNNNNNNNNNNNNNNNNNNNNNNNNNNNNNNNNNNNNNNNNNNNNNNNNNNNNNNNNNNNNNNNNNNNNNNNNNNNNNNNNNNNNNNNNNNNNNNNNNNNNNNNNNNNNNNNNNNNNNNNNNNNNNNNNNNNNNNNNNNNNNNNNNNNNNNNNNNNNNNNNNNNNNNNNNNNNNNNNNNNNNNNNNNNNNNNNNNNNNNNNNNNNNNNNNNNNNNNNNNNNNNNNNNNNNNNNNNNNNNNNNNNNNNNNNNNNNNNNNNNNNNNNNNNNNNNNNNNNNNNNNNNNNNNNNNNNNNNNNNNNNNNNNNNNNNNNNNNNNNNNNNNNNNNNNNNNNNNNNNNNNNNNNNNNNNNNNNNNNNNNNNNNNNNNNNNNNNNNNNNNNNNNNNNNNNNNNNNNNNNNNNNNNNNNNNNNNNNNNNNNNNNNNNNNNNNNNNNNNNNNNNNNNNNNNNNNNNNNNNNNNNNNNNNNNNNNNNNNNNNNNNNNNNNNNNNNNNNNNNNNNNNNNNNNNNNNNNNNNNNNNNNNNNNNNNNNNNNNNNNNNNNNNNNNNNNNNNNNNNNNNNNNNNNNNNNNNNNNNNNNNNNNNNNNNNNNNNNNNNNNNNNNNNNNNNNNNNNNNNNNNNNNNNNNNNNNNNNNNNNNNNNNNNNNNNNNNNNNNNNNNNNNNNNNNNNNNNNNNNNNNNNNNNNNNNNNNNNNNNNNNNNNNNNNNNNNNNNNNNNNNNNNNNNNNNNNNNNNNNNNNNNNNNNNNNNNNNNNNNNNNNNNNNNNNNNNNNNNNNNNNNNNNNNNNNNNNNNNNNNNNNNNNNNNNNNNNNNNNNNNNNNNNNNNNNNNNNNNNNNNNNNNNNNNNNNNNNNNNNNNNNNNNNNNNNNNNNNNNNNNNNNNNNNNNNNNNNNNNNNNNNNNNNNNNNNNNNNNNNNNNNNNNNNNNNNNNNNNNNNNNNNNNNNNNNNNNNNNNNNNNNNNNNNNNNNNNNNNNNNNNNNNNNNNNNNNNNNNNNNNNNNNNNNNNNNNNNNNNNNNNNNNNNNNNNNNNNNNNNNNNNNNNNNNNNNNNNNNNNNNNNNNNNNNNNNNNNNNNNNNNNNNNNNNNNNNNNNNNNNNNNNNNNNNNNNNNNNNNNNNNNNNNNNNNNNNNNNNNNNNNNNNNNNNNNNNNNNNNNNNNNNNNNNNNNNNNNNNNNNNNNNNNNNNNNNNNNNNNNNNNNNNNNNNNNNNNNNNNNNNNNNNNNNNNNNNNNNNNNNNNNNNNNNNNNNNNNNNNNNNNNNNNNNNNNNNNNNNNNNNNNNNNNNNNNNNNNNNNNNNNNNNNNNNNNNNNNNNNNNNNNNNNNNNNNNNNNNNNNNNNNNNNNNNNNNNNNNNNNNNNNNNNNNNNNNNNNNNNNNNNNNNNNNNNNNNNNNNNNNNNNNNNNNNNNNNNNNNNNNNNNNNNNNNNNNNNNNNNNNNNNNNNNNNNNNNNNNNNNNNNNNNNNNNNNNNNNNNNNNNNNNNNNNNNNNNNNNNNNNNNNNNNNNNNNNNNNNNNNNNNNNNNNNNNNNNNNNNNNNNNNNNNNNNNNNNNNNNNNNNNNNNNNNNNNNNNNNNNNNNNNNNNNNNNNNNNNNNNNNNNNNNNNNNNNNNNNNNNNNNNNNNNNNNNNNNNNNNNNNNNNNNNNNNNNNNNNNNNNNNNNNNNNNNNNNNNNNNNNNNNNNNNNNNNNNNNNNNNNNNNNNNNNNNNNNNNNNNNNNNNNNNNNNNNNNNNNNNNNNNNNNNNNNNNNNNNNNNNNNNNNNNNNNNNNNNNNNNNNNNNNNNNNNNNNNNNNNNNNNNNNNNNNNNNNNNNNNNNNNNNNNNNNNNNNNNNNNNNNNNNNNNNNNNNNNNNNNNNNNNNNNNNNNNNNNNNNNNNNNNNNNNNNNNNNNNNNNNNNNNNNNNNNNNNNNNNNNNNNNNNNNNNNNNNNNNNNNNNNNNNNNNNNUCAUGUCUUAGCUGCUACACGUAUAUCAGAAUUUCGGGGCUGUUCAGACUUGGGCAAUAUAUGGCCAGUUUAUUCAUCCAACCUACCAGUACUUUCUGGUUAUGGAGCAUCACGAUCAGAUGUUAAUUGUAAGAGCUUUGCGUCCAUUUGACGAGAUUGGACAUGUAAUCAGCAGGAGGGAGAAUUCCGUUAAAAGUGUAAGGAAGUCCAUGAUACAUUGGGAAGGCCUGUAUUACUCAAUCUCCUUAGAUACGGAAUGGUAAAAUAGAAGAGAACAUCUUGUUUAAUAAGAAGAUGGACAGAGAAAGGUAUGAAAGGGUUCUUGAUGCAUAUUCCUUGAAAAAGAACCUGGAGGUUCUCUCAUUUGGUGAUCAGACAGUUAUAGUGCUGUGGAUGCUCGCGCAGGAACCAAUUUCUUUAAAGAAUAUUUGUUGUGUCUCUUAGGUUCGAAAGUAGUGAUUUAUGUUACGCAUCAAGUAGAGUUCUUACCUGUUGCUGAUUUCAUAUUGGUCAUAAAAGAUGUAAUCUUUCUUUCAGAGCAAGAACCCAUGUUAUCCUUUGCUUCAGAAUUACUAGAUCAUGUGGGCUUUCAAGAGAACGAAAUUGUGACAGAGGCUUUCAUAUAGGCACUUACAAGCAAGAAGAUUCUGAAUCUGUAUACUUGGAAGCUUCAGUUUUUAAGGCUCUGUUUCAUUUCAUAUAUUGAGAUCCAUUACCUAGCAUAGAAGAGUUCUUCUACUUUAAGAGGCUUAGUAUCUGCUCAACAGAUUGGUACAGUCCAGGUAGGUCCAGGCAGCUAUGCGAGUCUAAUCUCCGUGAAGAUGCUGCUGUAAAUAUUGUAGCAACUACCUUAGCUUGUGAUCAGAAUAGCACCUCUGUUUCCAGCUAAAAGCUGGAUGUCACAAAUUUGUUGAAAUCUUUGAAAAAUCUGAGAACCGUAGGCCUUUUGUCUGAUUCUCUUUCCAGUAACCCAAUCAGAAAAGGUAUUGGAGCAUGUCAUGGAGUGCAUUGUGCCAGUCUCUGGUUUAUCCAUGGUAGAAAGGCAACAAACUUGAUAAGUGGUUCACGUAUGCAAUGUUUAUAUGCAAUAAACAGAGUGCUAACAGUCUUUGUUACUACUUCUAAACUGGUCCAUUAUGUGAAAUAACCAGCUUAGAUCCAAGAUUUAUAAUCGGUUUGAUUUGGUCAGGAAAGACAAAGUGCUAUGCUCACUAGCUUGGUCGAUUGGCAUUAAUGUUGGCGAAUUUUGGAGCAUUCAUAUAAGCUUUAUAGAGUUUAUGAAACAGCAGUAGCGGCUGGGGAUCUGGAGUCAGUUCUCCAUGUACGAAACGAAAAUGGCAAUUUUUUUUUUGCACACCAGUGGAGAAGGCAAAUUCAAACUGCUCUUCUAAAAAGGAAUUUGUACGAAUCCCAGAAUUCUUUCUUAUGCUGUGCUUAAUAGGUAACAGAAGUGGUUGUGGAACUUGACACUGCAGUAUCAAGAGAAUAAGAGCAUGGAAGAAUGGCUUCAGUUGGUUCUGUCUUGUUAUCUAAGAGUCCAGUGAGUAUCAAAAAGCAAUAAAUUUUGAGAAGUCUUCAUCAGCAGAAUCAGGUCGUCAAUCUUCUUCCUCGACAUAGCUGGAUAUGACAUAGAAGAAAAGAAAGAUGAAAGAGCUGGCACUUGAAUUUUCACAGAGCCCCAUUAUUUAGGACAGCAACAUGUGGACCACCUUCAACUACCUUGACUCCAAUUGAUGGUUCAGAUGAAUAUGAAUUUGUUUCUAAACCCUCUGAGGCAGAAUCCCUCACGUGCCAGACAUACCAUGAGCUUAUUGCUUUAAUUUAUGACUCAAUUGAAGUUGUUAAUUAAGCCUAAACCAUAGUAGCAAUAUGAGGAAACUCUCUGCUAAUGUUCAUGAUUCAUUUCCUGAUUUGAGCAGUCGCACAUCUUUUGCAAAUAAAUUUGCAGAAACUGGUGUACCUAUGGGUAAUAAUGAUAAGUUACAUCACUUCGGUCUGUUAAUAUCUGAGUACAGAGGCUCCCAUAUGAGGUCUAGUCAGUCAUCAAAUCUAUCUACAAAUAUAGGCGAUCAAAGUCACUUCAUAUGUACCUUACAUGAGAGAGAUGCUUUAUUGCCCAGACAGAGUUCGAUAGGUGCUGCGUCCGAUCAAUCUCUUAUUGCAAAGACAUAAUCUGAUGAUUGUUGAAGAAAUAUAUGAUCUAAAUCCCGUGUUCAUCAAAAUGCCAUAGAUGCCCGGCAUUUAUCUCGCAUGGAGCAAGAAUUCAAUAGCUAUGACUUGACAGCAGCAACAAGUUCGCAAUCAGUUUCGAAUCCUACGGAUGCUCAAGCUGUCUUUGGAACCCUGACAAGAAGGAGUAGCUAUUCAGACUGUCUCCAACAAUACACCCAGCGCUGAUAGUUUCUGAUGGAUAACAGAGAUCAGUGCAAGGAAAUGGGAGGGUGCUGCUGCUGUUCUUCUAAGGGAAUUGAACUGAAUGGCAUACCAGCAUACUAUUCUUGCCCAAGAGCAUCAGAAGAACAUGAACUCUUAUCAUCUCGUCAUGGAACAGCCUCCACGCUCUCUACAGGACUCUUAGUUGAUACAGAUCUGGGAACAUCACCUUCUGACGCUUAUAGACCACCUCCUGCACCAAUUCCAUACGAUGUGGAUUGAGGACAUCCUCAAACUUCACCAGUUGCUGAAGAUAGCUAAUGUGGUCUUAUAAUGAGAACUCCCUGCUCCGUAUAAGAGGAAAGUCUUGAUUCAAGGUAGAAGGACGCAUGGUUCAAUCAGUGACUAAGAGAUACUUGGUUUUCGAAACGGCUAGGUCCAGAUUUUGCAGCUGUCGAUAGGGAUGUUCUGGCCAGAAUUGCAUAUUCUAAAUUAUUUGAUUGGGUUGUGGGCAAGACAAUUUGUUCUCCUUAUGACAGAUAGAUUGCAUUCGAAGAUGGAUGAUCUUUUAUAGACUGUGGAUUCUGCCAUUGACCUCCAUAACAAGAUGAUUAAAAAUGUGUACCUGAUAUUAAAACAGAAAUGAACUGGACAGUCCCAGAGAUCAAAGGUAACUUAGCUGAGCAAAUUGAAGAUGCUGGAAACUGCACCCUAGGAGGGAGGCUGCAAGACAAGCUCAGGUAAAAGCUGAUGAAAUUGCAAAGCUGAUGAAAGAAAAUGAGCAGCUAAAAAUUGUAAAUGAGGAUUUUGAAGAGAAAAUCCAAUGCAGCAGAAACUGAGUCUCUACGAGAAAAGCAAGCUGCUCCAGAAUUUCAGAUUGAGAAGUCAAGGGCACAGAUUAGAGAGUUUGAAGAAGAGAAGAAAUGACUGACAACCAAACUACAGGUGGAAGAGAAUAAGGUGGAGAGUAUUAAAAAGAGCAAGUGACAAGCAACACAAAUCGAAGCUUGCCACUGCCAGUGACUCUAAUGACGCUGCUGAUUCUAAAUUCAGGUUAAAAGAUUUAAAUUUGAGAGUAAAUAUAAUGUUUCUCAAUUCAAUAGAACCCACCAGUGGGCUUGCUUAGUUUGACAGAACACAUCAGCAAGUUAGCAUCUGACCAGCAUGAAUAAGAAUCAGUGGGCUCACUUUACCUUGAUUGUCCUCUUGUUGAUGAUCUCCAAGUGAAUCAGAGGUAGCAAGUCCAGGUAUCAGAAGGGUUGGGGUAACUUAACGAUGAGAGCAAGUGAAGAACCUACAGAUUGCCUAAUUGUUUCCAAGAUUACUCACAGUUAUGUUCCAGAUUUUGAAGAAUUCCAUAAGCACUGUGGAGUAGGAAAAGUUGUUUCUGGUUAUGUUUUAAAUGUCAAUAAGGAGCUUUAAGACAUGCCAAUAAACCGCCAAGGCGCCUAAUGAAGGUUGUGACCUAUAUCUAGAUGAUUUUGGGAUGCCCAGUUGCGGCUUCUGAACACAGGGACCUUUUCGAAGAGAAAAUAACAACAAAUUUCCGCAACAACCUCAUCAAUUUCAACAGCAGUUCGUUCCAAGUCAACAUCAACAGAAGCCAUCGGAAUCAAUUCCAGCAGAUCUCCUCUAAAGACCGUUCUAGAGCCCAAUACCAUUUUCCUCUUGCACCCUCCUGUUCUCCUCGUGCUUUUACGUGUUUUGAAUUGUGUUUUCAAAAUCGUUUUCAUCCAAAUAACCCUAACUUUAGGGAAUUACCCCCAAACUCUUUCUAGGUAUAAAAUCCCAGUUUUAACAUGCUAUUUGCUGCCACUUUCCUUCGGGUAUGCACUUUCAACGUUUUAUUUGAUCUUUAACUAUUUUUUGUGUUUUUCUUGAUUUUCAAUAAGCAUGAACAAACUCCAUAAUUCCAAGUCAUGGAAUUUAUGGAAUCAACUCGUGCGAAAUUAAUUAGGGCUUUGAUGGGGGCCCAACAUUCAUGAUAUCCUCUUCAAUAGUUUUUGUUUGACAUUUGAUUAAUUGUGUUUUCUCUUUGAGAUACGUGAGAUUAUUAUGCACCUAUUAUUAAGCAAUCUUGUUUCCCAUAGUGGCGUUUUAGCUUGCUAUCCAGGUACACUCCUUCACACUUAUUUUUGAGAAUUCCAUGGACAUAUGUGUUAUUGAUGACUAUAUCCAUACAUGAUGUGAUUUUUGGAUGUCUUGAUAUAUGCCUGAUUUGCUUGAAUAAAACAAAUGUUGUGUGCUACAUUUCUACACUAACUUUUAUGUUUUAUGAUAGCGCUUGAAGAGUGGUUCAGGUACGCACCUUAACUCUCCUUUAUCGCAAUUUGAUUGUGUUUGGCAUGCCACUCUCUAAAAUCACCUAGCCUUUAUAGGUAUCUAUAAUUAAUGGAUUAAUUGCCACACUUCCCUUAACUUUGUCAGUAGAGACCUUUUUAGGGCUUAGAGGGGUGCUACCUCCUAGAGGUACCUUCCCAAUAAGUAACCUGAUCCCCGGACCUAGACUCGGGUUUCUCAAAGACAUGUUUUUUCCAAAACUAUGGAGUCACUUUUUAGGGUUUUUCUUUCUUGUUUUAUUUUCCGUUUAAAAUAAAAAUAAAAUAGGUGGCGACUCCAACUUUUUUUUAAAAUUGAUUUUUCACAAAUAAAAAGCGAGUCUCGCCGAUCGAGUGGGGACGCACGUGAAAAAUGCGAGUCCACAAAUUGGCGACUCCGCUAGGGAUUUUGAGGAUCAAGCUUGAACAAUAGUUGAGGAAAAUGUGGCGUUUAAUUGGUCGAUUAGUGGGUACCUUUUUUUUUAGGCAAGGUGAUUUGAUUUGCUUGCUUGUUUGGUUUGUUAUCUUAACAUGUUUGAUUGCCUUGGAUGAUCACUUGAUUGUUUUGCUCACUUAGCAUGAUUCACUCUCACAUAUGUUAGAUAGGACUUUGUUUGUUUGAUAUUUAUUUGAUUCGCAUGACUGUUUGAUGUGAUCACUUAACUGUUUAUUCACUUUAGCAUGAUUCACUCUCACAUAUGCUAGAUAGGACUUUGAUUGUUUGAUAUUUAUCUGCUUCGCAUGGCUGCUUGUUGCAUGACAAUCCUUUCUCUUGGAUGUUCGUAUGAUUGCUUGUCUUCGUUCACUAUUUCACUUUAGAUCUUAGGUUUUUCGGAUGCACCCACAUCCUUUAUUAUGCACUUUAGAUUAUCCCUGAGUGUUGAGAGAUGGGAGAGCCUUCACCUUUAAGAAACCCCCUGGGAACGCGAGGAAGUGCAUGUGUGGAGGUGAUGACCACCUUGCAUGGAAGCACCCCGUCUCCUUGGAGGCGUGCAGAGGGUUGCGUACCGUCGGAGGGUACGAUCGCUUCUGCUAGGGAUCCUUUGACCCACCCAUUUUAUCCUAUAGAGCCGCCUCAACCUUGUAGGCUAACCUAGACCCAAUUAAGAAUUCACUCCUACACGUGGGUGCAUCUGUGGACCUUCACAGCUGCCUUGGUCACAAUUGGGUUCAGUUAUCCUCUUCAUGGUCUCCUUUUGGUGUGCUCAGAGAUUGGUACAUGUUUGAGUCUCAAUUGGGCCACCUUUCUGCAUUGUGAUUAGUGUGUUUCCACCUCUUCUGAGCUUCCUUCAUGUCAUUUCUCUUUCCGCGUCUUUGUACCUUAUAGGAAUGUUACUCACUUCAGUUUGGAUUCGACUUUUUAUAUUAGAGUUGGAGAUAGAUUGGUCAAGGUUUCAAAGCAAUCAGGUAUGGAUCCUCAGCAUGAUACAGUUGAUCGACCUACAGUCACCAUGACUCUAUUUAGGAUGCAUUAGCAGGUUUGAGCUAGAUGAUUGAUGGACAGUGAGAUAGAUGGCAUCCAGUUCAAGAUGAGAUGUCGUAUGAUUCAUUACCACCCACCCCCACCACCCAGUUAACCAGUGACAUUGUUGAGGGUGACUUCGUACAUAUGAUGAGUUUAGUGGAUUAUGAGUCAAAGUUUAUCAGAUGAGAGUUCUUAUAGAGGACGUUAGUUUUUCUCAGAUGGGAGAUUUGAUUAACAUGGUUUUUCUUCAUGAUGAGCCUGAGGUAGACGUAUUGGAUGAUAGUUGGAUGUUUGGCACAGAUUAGCCCGAGAUAGUUCACUCUCUUGAUAUGCUUGAGAUCUUCAUUGUUGAGAGUUCAGAAAAGAUUCAGUUUAUUUAUGUUGGGGCAUCCCGCUUAUGUUGAUGAUAUGUUUGAGGACGAUAUUAGCCCGGUUAUGGUCAUGGAGAUUCAUCUAUUCCAGGAGACCCUAGGGACUUACUUGGAAUACACCACUUGUCAUUAGAGAGUUGACCCUAGAGAGGAAAUAUGAUUGACAUAUCUGGAUAGAGACCAGUUCUCAAACCCCACCAAUGUGGAUUAGUUGAAGAAGUAUUACAUUUGAGACCAUGGUCACAGGAUGGGUGGCCAUCAUUUCGGUUAGCCUUACACCUUAUCACCUUAUUGAUAUAUUAAACCAUUGCUAGCCCAUUGAGCCUCACGUGGUAUGUUAUAGCCUUAUUUCUUUCUUAUAGCUUUGAUUACCAUUUCUAUACCCGGGUUGGGGCCCUUUGAUGUAUAUGCAUGCUUUGCUAGGAAAGUCUCAUGAGCUUUAGACUUAUAGGUCUAUCUUCUCAUUUUGUUACCAUCCUCUUAUCACCUUAUUUGUUCUAUUUUAUUAUCACCACAUGUUCAUUCUCUUUCUUGACUCUAUCAUUAUUUGCUUCAUCUUAUCUAUUCUCUUCCUUGGGUUGAUGAUUCUUCACGUCUUAGUGCAAAAAGGGCAGUCAUAUCACUCUAUUUAUUCCAUCAUUUGACAUUGAUUCGGAGAUCUUAGUUUGAGAGGUUGUCUCAUGGGUUGGGGUUCAUGUAUUCAUCAGUGAUUUGAGAGAGUUUAUUCAUUUCUUGUAUCUUUCCCAUUGGAGUUUGACUUAUUGAUGAUCAGAGCAUGCGCCAAAAAAAAAAAAAAAACAAAAAACAAAAAAAAAACAAAAAAAAAACAACAAAACAAAACAGAAAAAAAGAAAAAAAGAAAAAAAGAAGAAAAAAGAGAAAAAAAAAAAAAAAAAGCGCAAUGACAUGUUUAUGUAUGGUAUCUUGCUCCAUUGGGCACUUAUAUCACCUUUUGAGGUCUGUUUACUGGGUAUAUUUGUCAUUGUGGGUUCUUGUGAGAUUUUUAUAUGAGUUUUCACUCCUUGAGCCACUCUUGUUAUGCAUUUGGAGUGUUGAGGGUUCAUGUGAGAGUUUUAUGGUAUCCUAUGCUUCUUGGGCCAUGGUUGAUACGUAUUAGGUAUGAGAGAUGAGUGACCUUUUACUAGGGUCUCCGAAUCAUUGUCUUAUACCCACCAUUCCAUCAUUGGUGAUAUGACUCUCCUUUAUUGUACUAACAUGGGUUGAUCAUCACUCAUUCCACUUUCUCAUUGCUUUCUUUUGUAUCCCAUUACCUCUUUCCAGAUCUUUGUUCCAUCUUUUAUUCAUUCCCUACAUAUUGAUACCCAUUACUGAUUUGAUACCUUCUUCACAUCAUUCACAUAUUUCAUUGAUGGUUUGACCAUUCAUCCUUUCUCUCAUUUCGUUAUCGACAUUCCCUUUGGUUACUUCUAAGUCCAUGACUCAUGAGAUUUUUCUAUGCAUUACAUCUUAUACACGAGGGUAUGGGUUUGAUCAUUGGGUAUUUGAGCCUAGUUUCCCUUCAUUUCUUUCACCCUAUCACCCUAGCCUACGUUACGUCCCGUGUCUUAAGACCACCCUGAGGCCAUGAGAUCAGAUGUUAUCUUUGACAGCCUCUACUUAGGUUGGUGUUUGGGAUUUGGUUGAUAUAUAGAUGUUGUCAUGUUUCUUCUUUUGGGAGAUGCUUCUUUGAUGCUUGGAGGUGAUUUGGUGAUGGAUGUGGAUGAUUGUUUCAUCUUACGGAUGAUAUUUGAUGUUGUCUAGCUUCUACUGUACAUCAGAUAUCCACACUGGGGCAUUUUCCCCUUUCAUUUGGAUGAGAUGAGCUCCUAGUGGAGCACUUUCUUUGAGCAUGGACAUUUUCAUUGAUUCGAGAUCCCUAGUGGAGUAUGUUGAGAUGGUAUUAGUUUUAGUGGAGCAUUGUUGAGUUCAUUGACGACUUUCAUGACCCUAGUGUUUCCAUUUGCGGAGUAUUUCUGAGAUAGACUAGUGGAUUAUUACUGAGUUGGAGGCAGUUUUCAGUGCAGUGUAUAGAUCUGGCAUACUGGGACAUAUUUCCCCAUUUUGAGGUUACCAGAUUCAUGUUGGAUAUAGUCAGGGAUUCAUCAGAGACAUGUUUCUACUUUUGAGAUUACCACAUUCCUCAUCAUUUUGGCUAUUCAUUUGAGAUUAGAUUUAGAGUGUCUCCUUUGAGGCAUUGGUCGAUACAUUAUUCUGACUUCCUAGCAGAUUAUUGUUGAGCUGAGGACAGUUGAUUGAUGAUGUUGGAUUCACCCUUUGGUUGUGCAUUAGAUUAUUCACACUGGGGCAUAUUCCCCUCUCCAUUACGAGAUUUAUUUGGGCAGUGAUAUAAGGAUGGAUGAUUGGUGUCGGUUGUUUAGCUUAUGACUUUGACGUCAGAUCUUAUACUGGGGCAUAUUUCCCCCAUUUUCUUUGAGUAUCCUUGAGAUUGAGACAGUGGCCAGCUUGGUUUUAGAUUGAGUACUAGCCCAGAGCUUCCGACGAUCGACUGUAUCAGGGCCUCCCUACAUGGAUUUGUUGAGAUAGAGAUGGAUCGCAUCAGGUUUCAGCCGAGGAGCGUGGGUGGAUCCUUUAGGCAGAUGUUCAUGAGACAGAUUUGUUUUCAUCAUUGUUACCUUGCAGAUUGGAUUAUCCAGAUAAGCAUCAUUUUAUGCACUUUGAGAUUUGCUUUUAGAUGAGCCACGAUAUACACGCUUUGAGAUUCACCUUUUGAGAUUCGUCGACAGAGCAGUUUUUUUUCAGACACAGAGGCCUCUUUCAGUUUUGACUUUUCAGAGGUUUGUCAUGAUGUAUUGGUUCUUGACCCAUUGCUUCUAGCAGAUGAUUGGUUUACUGGUUGUUUCAGCAGUGUGAGCACCCUGGAUACUGGGGCAUAUUUCCCUUCUUGGUUUCAGUAGUCCGACCCUUGACAUUUUGAGUAUAUGGCUUUGAGCCAAUUUAUUUCAUGUCCACUUUCUAGUUGGUCUUCUCUAUUAUUCCCUUCUAGGCCCUGAGCCUCGUAGCUUUGAGUUAUUCAUUCCUUCUAGACCCCGAGUUUUAUAGCCCUGAGCAUUCUUCUUCCCUUAGGCCCUGAGCCCACUAGCCCUGAGCUAUUUUUUUUUUUUAAGCCCUGAGCCUCGUAGCUGUGAGCUAUCCAUUCCUUCUAGACCCUGAGUCUUAUAGCCCUGAGCUAUCAUUUUUUCCUUAGGCCCUGAGCCCGCUAGCCCUGAGCUAUCAUUUCCUAUAGACCUAGAGUCUUUCCAGCUCUUAGCUGAGCUUUCAUCAUUUGGUCGCCCAUGAGUGGUUUGACCUAGAGUUUGCGUAUCGCAUUCUCCUUCUAGCCGAUCAGUCAUAGAGCCCGGAGCUCAUAGCCCUGAGCUAUUCGUCGACCCAGAGUCAUUUUUCAUCUUGACCCAGAGUCAUUCAUAGCACCCCGAGCCCUGAGCUCACGACCCGGAGUCAUUUGCAUCAUUCACAUCCUUGAGAUGUUUCGUUUUCAUCAUUCUAGCCACUUGUGAGUGGCCUCGACCCGACACCUUGAGUCGGAAAGUAUCCUGAUCGGCUAUCUAUUUAGAGCCCGGAGCUCUCGACCCAGAGUCAUUUUCCAUUUUGACCCAGAGUCAUUCCUUUCCAUUUAGAGCCCAGAGCUCUCGACCCAGAGUCACUUUCCAUUUCGACCCAGAGUCAUUCCUUUCCAUUUAGAGCCCGGAGCUCUCGACCUAGAGUCACUUUCCAUUUCGACCCAGAGUCAUUCUUUCCUAUUUUAGAGCCUGGAGCUCUCGACCCAGAGUCAUUUUCCACUUCGACCCAGAGUCAUUCCUUUCCAUUUAGAGCCCGGAGCUCUCGACCCAGAGUCACUUUCCAUUUUGACCCAGAGUCAUUCUUUCCUAUUUUAGAGCUUGGAGCUCUCGACCCAGAGUCACUUUCCAUUUUGACCCAGAGUCAUUUUCCAUUAUGGUCCAGAGUCAUUUCUUUUCCAUUUAGAGCCCGGAGCUCUCGACCCAGAGUCACUUUCCAUUUUGACUCAGAGUCAUUCUUUCCUAUUUUAGAGCUUGGAGCUCUCGACCCAGAGUCACUUUCCAUUUCGACCCAGAGUCAUUCUUUCCUAUUUAGAGCCCAGAGCUCUCGACCCAGAGUCACUUUCCAUUUUGACCCAGAGUCAUUCUUUUCUAUUUAGAGCCUGGAGCUCUCGACCCAGAGUCAUUUUCCAUUUUGACCCAGAGUCAUUCUUUUUAGAGCUUAAAGCUCUCGACCUAGAGUCGAUUUUCCAUUUCGAGCCCAGAGCUCUCGACCCAGAGUUGGUUUUCCAUUUAGAGCCCAGAGCUCUCGACCCAGAGUCGAUUUUCCAUUUCGAGCCCAGAGCUCUCGACCUAGAGUCGAUUUUCUAUUUCGAGCCCAGAGCUCUUGACCUAGAGUCGAUUUUCCAUUUAGAGCCCAGAGUCGAUUUUCCAUUUCGAGCCCAGAGCUCUCGACCCAGAGUUGGUUUUCCAUUUAGAGCCCAGAGCUCUCGACCCAGAGUCGAUUUUCCAUUUCGAGCCCAGAGCUCUCGACCUAGAGUCGAUUUUCCAUUUCGAGCCCAGAGCUCUUGACCCAGAGUCGAUUUUCCAUUUAGAGCCCAGAGCUCUCGACCUAGAGUCGGUUUUCCAUUUAGAUCCCAGAGCUCUCGACCCAGAGUCGAUUUUCCAUUUAGAGCUCAGAGUCGAUUUUCCAUUUAGAGCCCAGAGCUCUCGACCCAGAGUCGGUUUUCCAUUUAGAGCCCAGAGCUCUCGACCCAGAGUCGAUUCUCCAUUUAGAGCCCAGAGCUCUCGACCCAGAGUCGAUUUUCCAUUUAGAGCCCAGAGCUCUCGACCCAGAGUCGGUUUUCCAUUUAGAGCCCAGAGCUCUCGACCCAGAGUCGGUUUUCCAUUUCGAGCCCAGAGCUCUCGACCCAUAGUCGAUUUUCCAUUUCGAGCCCAGAGCUCUUGACCUAGUGUCGAUUUUUCACUUAUGACCCAGAAUCAUUCUUUCUGUGCAAAGCUUUAAGCUCACGACCUGAAGUUAUUCCCUUUUUGUGAUUGCGUCCCCAUGUUUAGAUCUUACCUCUUCAUGUACUAGGACAAAAUCUCUGGUCCUUCUUUAAUUCUUCGGUAUAGUUCACUUCAUUCUGCUCAUUACUCGUAUUUCUACUCACAUUCUCUACACUCGUGAUCUAUACCGAAGAGGGGCAUAUUUGUAGACCCUCAAUUUUGUCCCUUUAACACAUGUCUUUAAGUUCGUUUCCAGUGCUCCACGGUAGUUCCUUGGUGGCCCAUUACUACUCGUACCACUUACCUUUUUUCUGAGUCACCUCGGAGACUUUGGUUGAGGGAUUAUCUGACCCCUUAUUGUGACCCCUUGGCAGCCCUAAUUUAGACUUAGGCUUUUCUUGUUUUUUUAGGAUAGCCUUUAGAUACACUUGGCCCAUUAGGCACCACCCUAGGCCCGCUUAGUCUCAUCAUAGGCCCGUUUAGGCACACUUGGCCCAUUUGGACAUUUUUAGCGUGACUUGUAUGACUUGCAUGGUUACAUGGCUUUUAGGCUCGGCUUUUGUUUAUUGGUUUAUUUUUUAUUUUUUUUUAUUUUUUUAUUUUAUUUUAUUUUUUUAUUAUUUUUAUUUAAUUUUGUUUUAUUUUAUUUUAUUUUUACCGUUUCCUAAUUUAUUUACUUGCUUAUCUGUUCACUCAAUUAUUUAACUUAGAAAAUUUUCAUGUUUUUGCAAGGAAACUUACUAUUGGAGUUUAAGGAAGGUGGGACUCUCCUUGGAAGGUUUUGGAGGGGAAUUUGAAAUUGGGAAGAUUGCUUUGAUUGGAAGAUUUAAAAAAAGGAAGAGAAGAAGAAAGGAAAUAGGGGAAUUUUCCUUUUGGGAAAAAUUUAGGUCUUGAGGGAAGAUAUAUAUGUGAGAAAAAGGAUUUUUCUGGGGGCGCAGCACUUAUUGGAGUCUAGAGAGGGAGGAGGAGGAAGAAAGAACAAGCAAAAAAGAGGAUUUUUAUCUGGGAAUUAUCCUAGGAGGAAGAAAAAAGAUAGCCAGAAGCCGAGCCAUUGCAACCAAAGCUGUCCAGGUAUGCACCUCGUUGCUUUCGGAAUUCUUACCUAUAUUUGAUUUUUUUUUCCGUGAGUUCGAUUCCUGAAUAUAUAAUUGUUUUGUUGAUUUUUGUGUGGACGAAAAGGGCCACAAUUUGCUUUGUUGAGAUUGGUUACUUGCCUGUUUGCCUUGUUUUGAUUUUGGAUGUCAUUAAUGUCUUCGGAAGCAUAUAUCUCUGUGCCUAUUCCCACUAACCAGAGCCUAUUGAAAAGUCAUGAGAUGUGGUUUUAUUUUCUUUUAAUCUCCCAUGCCUGUUUUCCCAUCGUUUCCGCUAUUCUCUACCAUACUCGUUUUUGCUUUUCUUCCUAUCCGUCCUAUGGCCAUCAAUUCUUCAUAUGGGGGUGAUUCCAAAGCUUGGGCAUGCAAUCAUGAGAUUCAACAAAGAGAACAAACGUUUCAGAAUUCUAGCUUGUCGGCUGUUUAUUCACUUGUUAAGGAUAUGCAGAUUAAGGACAGAUUGAGAAGCAUGGUUCUGGAAAUAGAGGAUCUUUCCGCUGGUUAUUUGGUCUCUGAUAACUACACUUUCACCUUCUGGGUCCGUACCUCCGCUCAGCUAUUGAUGCAUGGGAUCAAUUCGUUUGUACAGGGUGCCGUUCUGAAAAGUGGGUUCAAGUAUGACUCAUAUGUUCAAAGUGGUUAGUUUACAUGUAUACAGGGAUUGGGUGGUUUGGCUGAUUGCUAAUGGAUGUUUUCAUCAAUUUGUGAGCCAAAUUUGGUGUAUCAGAUUGUAAUGGUCAAUGCAUGUGCCAAGAUGGGAGAUCUUUACCUUUGCUCGGAAGUUGUUUGAUAAAAUGCCCCAUAAGAACCUUAUUACACGGAAUGUAGUGAUUUCGGGAUAUGUGCAAUGUGGGUAACCAUGGAGCGAGAAUCACCAUUGGAAAGAAGAGUAUCGACCACUUAAAAGAGAGAAGCACCAGAAUUUCAGAGAGAGGAUGAAGAUACCUCAUGAAAAUAUACAGUGGUUUGGAUGAGCCUGAUGGUCUAUCUGGCCUAGCAUGUUUACACACAUCAUUAAGUUUGCAAGACCAGCUUUCUAAUCAACAAGAAAGCAGGAAACUGGGCAGAAGUUUUAACUUCUUCUGAGUAGGCUUUGCAGAUGGAGCCCACCUCAGUGCAGAGGCAUUCAGAUGUUCUUAAUUGUUUACUGACAUGUGCCACUUCCAGACUAUGGUCCAUUGUUGUUACCUUUCUAAAGGUUCACUCCUAAAGAAGAAAUUUCUCUUGACAUUACUGUACUAGAAGCCCCUCCUAACAUCAUUAUCCCUUCGGAUGUCCCAAAUAUCCUGCUGGUAAAUCCUAUCCUAGUGUAAACUAUGGUGUCUGCUAGAUCUGUUUCUCAUGUCUUAGCUGCUACACGUAUAUCAGAAUUUCGGGGUUGUUCAGACUUGGGCAAUAUAUGGCCAGUUUAUUCAUCCAACCUACCAGUACUUUCUGGUUAUGGAGCAUCACGAUCAGAUGUUAAUUGUAAGAGCUUUGCAUCCAUUUGACGAGAUUGGACAUGUAAUCAGCAGGAGGGAGAAUUCCGUUAAAAGUGUAAGGAAGUCCAUGAUACAUUGGGAAGGCCUGUAUUACUCAAUCUCCUUAGAUACGGAAUGGUAAAAUAGAGAGAAGAUGUUUUAUCUUUUGAUUUUCUAUGAAAUUUCCUUUAAUUGGACUGUUUGUUUAUUUUCUAAGAAUAUUAUAGUAUGUUGUGAUGAAGAUAUUGGUUGGUCAUAUUUGGAAAAUAAUUUUUGAGAAAAUUAUUCUCAAUAUUGUCAUCUCUCGCAAAAGGAUUAUUUUUGCUUUCUUUUCUUAUUGUUUUUAUAUGCAUUGACCAAACUUUGGAGCAAUUUGAAAUUGAUGAUGAAAUUUUCCUUUCAAGGUUAGGAAAUUUCUAUAAAAUCCUUUUAUUACAAAUUUUUUUCCAAUUCUUUCCAUAAAACUCUUCAUUUUCUUCAUUUUUCUUUUUUCUGAAAAAGAUGUUUGAUAAUUUAUUGAUCUAAAGAAUAUUAAAAGUAAAAAAAAUAAAAAUAUUGAAUAUAUUUUCCUUUGAUGUUUUUAAUUUUUUAUUAUUUGAACACAAUUUCAUAUCCAAUUUUUUUAUUAAUUAUUUUAAUUAGAAAAAAGAAAUAUCAAUUGGAGUUUUGACUGAAAAAUCAAUAAUUUUUAUGAAAAACUCUUUAAUUCUUUCUCAUACUAUUUUUUCUCUUAAUAUUUUUUAAUAAUGAAUUAGGUUUUUUGUCUUAUAUACACAAUUUUCAUGCUUGUUAUAAUAUCAUGUCCUAUCAUAUUAGUAGUUGAAAACAUUUUGAUAUUUUGUUACUAAAAUUUUAUUUUAUGUAAUUGAGAUGAAAUUUAAUGGACAUUGUUAUUUCAUAAAAUGAACAUUAAAAAAAUAUUGAAAUUAAGAAAAUCCUUCCAAGAAAUAUAUAUAUAUAUAUAUAUAUAUAAUGUUAAAAAUGAUUUUUAAAAACAUAAUGAAUUAUAAAAAAUAAAUUUAAAAAGUGCAUAUUUUAAGUGGAAGAUUAGUAUUUUCUAAAUUUUAGAUUUAUAUUUUGAUUUGGUAGUUUUGAUUUAUUUUUUAUUUUCUUGAAUUGUUUUUAUUUGAAUUCAAAUGUGACUACUUUGUUAUGAGAUUCAUUAAAGAGAUAAUUGUUGAUUCUAUAGUUAUUGCAUUAAAGGUUUUACUCAUUUAAAUAAUUGCACAUAGUUUCAUACUUCCAAUUAUUGUGAUAUUAAUGUUAUUAUCAUUUGAUUUUAGUUUGAUGAUAAAAAAAAAACAUAUUCUUAAGUAGAAUGUGAUGAAAUUAGAGGAGAAUUGACUACUUUUAUAUUAUAACUAAUCAAGAAUCAUGUUGAUGUAUCGUGAUCAUGCAUGGUGAGUCCCUUAGUUGUUAUAUGAAUUUUCCAUUGGUAUUGUAUAACAUUACUUAUUCUUUACAAAUUAUUUUUAUAUCAAAAUGGAAAAAAGAAAAAAGAAAACAUUAGUAGUUAGAUUUGUUUAUUUUUUAUAACAUUAAUUAAUUUUUAUUUUUAAUAAAAACUCUAAAACUCAUUAAACUAUGAAAUGCAAGUAUACACUCUUGGAAGGACAGUAUGAAGAAUAAAAAGAAAGGAGAAAGAGACAACAAGAUUUUGGGUUUUUAGAUGUAACUUUUAUGCCAUAUAUUAUAGGACAUAAACGUUACUUUAUUUGGUAUCGAGAAUUUUGGGUUUUUGGAUGCAACACUUGUGUCAUUUUAUGGUUAGCCAGUUUUAUGCAUAUGAAUUGUAGGUAUACAUGAAUGUUGGGAUGCUUAACAUUUCUAUGUCAUGUUUUAAUGUGCAUUCACUUUUCCUUUUUAGUUUUGGUGGGUUUGAUGUACUAUCAUUUUGUGAACAUUUGAUAUACAAAUAUUAUUGGAUGAUUUAAUGUAUUACAGGUUGAUCUUAUUUAUUAAUAAGCAUUACAAAAAUCUAUAGGCUAAUCAAUAAAAAACAACCAUAUAUUCCAUAAUCAUUUACAAUGAUGUGACACCAUAACUCAAAGGUGAUGCAUUUAACGUGGCACCAUAACUCAAAGGUGAUGCAUUUAAUAUGACACCUUAUAUAUCUCACACAACUCUAUAUCAAAUUAAGCAUUACUAAAAAUAUAUGGUGCCGCUUCUGAAUGUGUCACCAUUUAUCUACAUUGGUGUCGCUUCCAAAUACAUCACCAAUUGGUACCCUCUAUGGUGUCAGUGGAUAAGGUGACGCUAUGUUGUAGUGACACCUUAUGUUUAUAGUGACUCAUUAUAAAUGUCACCAUAUAUCUUUUUCCUUGUAGUGUAUUCACCCCCUCCCCCUCUAGGUGUAGUCCAUUAUUGAGAUUCACCUUUUCAUCAUCCAUCCACAUGCCAGGAAGAAAAGUAUCAGUAAGAUUAUGGAAGCUCUCCCAAAGAAUCUCCCCUGAUCUGUUGUCACUUAAAACAAGGUUCCCGGAGUCCAUGAGCUUCAUCACCAUGCCUGUAGAUAAAGAUGUCUCAGUAUUAGAAGACCAAUGAACUUUCCCAUUUUCAUCCAAUAAUUUGAGCUUACCAUCGUCUUUAAUGGCAAAAACUCCAGAGGGGGGAUCAGAAAGGGGAAGGGGGCUGUCUUGGUUGGCCACCCAUACAACUCUUUGUGGUUUCAACAAGUAAUACCAUAUGCCAAUGUAUUUUCCAUUGUUGAACCUUCCAUCCGAAUUAAAGAAGCCAAGUUCAAAAGUUUUGCCUACAGAAACAAGAGUUCCUCCAUCAUUUCUAAGCCAAUCCUCUGGUGUGAUGGUAUCUCUAGCAGAGCAAUAUAGGACAGAACAUAAGAAAAAGAUGGUUGAUAGCAUGUGAGUUGUAGAGACAGGAACCAUGAAUUUUCUUCUUAUCAUUUUGCCCUCUAUUGUUGUUAGUCAAAGAACCAUGAAGAGUUGCAGAAACAUGAACCACGAAUUUUCUUCUUAUCAUUUUGCCCUCUAUUGUUGUCAGUCAAAGAACCAUGAAGGGUUUGCUACUGUUGUAUUGCACUCUCAUUUUUAAUGGAGACUUUUCCUUUUGACUCUUGAGUGGAGAAAAUUCAUAUCAGUAUUCUUAUCUUGAUUUUCCUUUUUGAUGCAUAGCUUUCAUCUCUGGACUUUUGUGGCAACUUGAGUCUUUAAGAUGGCAACUUUAAUAUGCUUCCUAGUGUCUUCCAAGUAUUGACGUUUUGUAUGCAUCACCCUCCUCCUUCUACACCAAUUUGUUUCUUUGUAUGUAUAGUUUUAUCUCUUCUAAGCAAUAAAGCAUAUGGCAUCAACCAAUAAAUUUUUCUGUACUUUCUCCAAUUUGGAGGAGCUUCGUAAUGGGACAAACAAGAAAAAUUAGAAGUUUAUUUGGCAAUGCUUGUAGAAACAGUUUUUCAUAACAAUGCUAAGAAACAGUUCUCAAAUGUUUCGACUAACUCAAAUAUAAGAACUAGUUUUCUUUGUUUAUUCUCGUACGUACAAAGCGAAAGUUUAAAAAAUAUUCUUUAUUUUAUGAAUUUUUAUCCAAUGAACUCCAUAAAAAUGAAAAAAAUUACAAACACCUCAAAAUGAUUCUAAAAUAUAAUUCAUCUGCAUAACAAAUUUGGCAAAAAAAAAAAAUCAUUUUUCAUCAAAUGUCUAUCAAACGUGUUUUCUAAUUUACAAAACAAUUUUCUGUUUAAAUAAAAAAAUCUAAAAUAACUACUAAACAUACCCUGAUUUUUGUUUUAAGCUUUUUUCCUUCUCAUGUCUUCUAAUUGCCAUGCAAUGAAUUAUCCACUUCAAACAUUUUUGUGCCAAAGGUAAAGCAAAGGAGAGAAUUACUAAAACAAACCCAGGAAAAUUAAGAAUCAAAGGACAAAAGGGGUUCAAGGAAGUGAUAAAUUUUCUCAAUGAAUUAACUUCACUAAUUGCUCAAAGGCAAGUUGUCAAUUGUUACAGAAUAGUGAAUAUAGGAAAUAAGAAAAACAAAAUAUGAACAUAUAGAUUUGUGUGAAAAAUCCUAAACGAGAAAAACCACGGACAGAUGAGAAGAAGAUCCACUAUAUCAAAAAUUGGUAUAAGAGGAGAGAGUUACGAGCGUCUAUAGCAUAACCCUAAAAAUACAUCAUCACAUAUACACACACAUAUGUAUAUAUAUAUAAAGCAGGUUCAUACUUUUGAAUUCAUUUAAUCUUUAUAUAAUGAAGGAAAGUAAAAUAAAUUAGAAAAAACAUAUGAAAUAAUUUAUUAACUUCGAAUUUAUUUUUUUAUUUUCUUUUGUUUUUUCCUUUCUUCUAUUUUUCCUCUCUAUUUUUUUUUUUCCAUAUUUUGCCUUAUAUUUUUUGAGAACCAAAUCUAGUCUUGAAGUUUCUUGGAAACUUUGGACUUUAGAAAAAACUUAACCUUUUUUUCUUGGGAAUAAUUUUCUAGAUUUGAGGUACAUUAUCUUAGGGGGGUACUAAGCAUGUCAAAAUACUUUCAAAAUCUAACUCCUAUUUUUUGGAAAGUUAUGAAUUAAUAUUUCUAUUUUUUUUUUUUUUUUUACUCUUUCCAAAUCUAAUUUUACUAGGAACCAAAUUUGUGAAUUUUUGCACAAAAUCCUAUCCAAGAGAGGAUCUUUUAGAAAUCUCAUCCAUUCUAUAUUUGAUUGGUAGAGAAUUAAAACCACGGUUGUGCAAAAAGCAUAUGAACAAAUAAAAUUAGACCAAGAUAUAUAUCUAUAUAUCUAUAUAUAUAUAUAUAUAUCAAUGAUUCAACUUAGAAGAAUAAUGCAUUAGAUUUCUACACUUUGAGUAGUUGCCUUGAUUAAGUCCAAUUACUAGAAGCCAAGGUCAAGGUCAUCGAAGUUUGUCCAUUCUCUUUCAUAAUUUCUUUUUUCCUCACUAAAGGAGAGAAUAUCUCUUUUACAAAUCUUGUCUAUUCUUGAUUGAUUUGGUAGAGAAUUUAAAAAAGGGUUGUGCCAAAAGCAUGUCAACAAUUUAAAAUGGACCGAGAGACGAAGCUUCUCAAUGAGUGGAUGUAUAUCUUUGUCAAUCCUUCAACUUUGAAGAAUAAUGCAUUAGACUUCUAUGCUUUAAGUAGUUUCCUUGAUUGAGUCCAAUUAUUAGAAGCCAAAGUCAAAGUCAUCGAAGUUUGUACAUUCUCUCUUGUGGUCCCAUGGUAUUUGCUCUUUUUUACCUCAUUAGAGGAAAAAACAUUAACACAGCUUCAUGUGGGAACCAAGCUUUCUUUUAGCAUCCAUGAUAGUUUUUCUUCCCAAUAAUUAGAAAAAGAUUCAUGAGGACCCCAUAUGAGAACUAUUAUUGGUGAUUGUAUAUAGAAAUAAAGAGAAUUCAUUUAUCCUAUAAAAAACAACCCCUUCCUAACGAUUAUAUAAUUUAUUGGUAACAAUGUGAUAGAAAAUUUUGAGACACAUAUUAUAGAUGAAUCUUGGUUAUGGAUUAUAGUUAGAGGGGGUAAAUAGUUAUUUNNNNNNNNNNNNNNNNNNNNNNNNNNNNNNNNNNNNNNNNNNNNNNNNNNNNNNNNNNNNNNNNNNNNNNNNNNNNNNNNNNNNNNNNNNNNNNNNNNNNNNNNNNNNNNNNNNNNNNNNNNNNNNNNNNNNNNNNNNNNNNNNNNNNNNNNNNNNNNNNNNNNNNNNNNNNNNNNNNNNNNNNNNNNNNNNNNNNNNNNNNNNNNNNNUUUAAGUGACUUGAAAAGCUUGAAGAAGGGCCUUGUGAUUCCAUAAAAGCUUAGUAAUGAUCCUCAAAGUUCAAAUGCAAGCUUAUGUCUAUUUAAUAUGUCUUAAAGAAUUAGUACCACAUAAAAUGAAGUGAUGUCUAGUGUCUAUGUGUUUUGUCCUAGAGUGAAGAACAAGGGAAUUGAAGUUGCUACUUGCACUACUAUUAUCAUCCAGUACAAUCAUGAUUCCUUGAUCUAUUUCAUAAUCACUUUACAAUUGCUUGAUUCAAAGAAGUUAGGCACAAGAACUACCAAUUACAUAUUCCACUUCAUCUAUGGAUAGUCAAACAUCAUUUUGUUUCUUACUCAUCUAAAUCAAGAUGUGAAAUAAAAAAAUGUAUACUUCAAUUGCAAAUAAAGUGGACAAUGUUCCCUUGCUUUUUAAUUAUGAGAGCUAGCCUCACAUGAGCAUUUGGUUUAGAACUAGGUAAUCAUUGAGUCAUCUCCACUAUCUAAUUAAGCCCUUGAAGUCCAAAUACAAGCGAUGAGGUUUGACAAUUUUAUGCUAUGCAAUUAAUGAUAAUGUAGAGAGGACCAAAAAAACAGAAGAGCUUCCUAUUGACACUCAUUAGGAAAAAAAAUUACAUUGAAGCAUAAGAAUAAAUACUCCAUAAAAUUCAAUUUUAAUGAAAUUAUAUAAUACAAAUGAAAAUGAUGUUGUUAAAGAGCAUGGUAUAUAUUGUGAACUCAAAUUCUACAAGUUAACCUUUUAGAAAAAUUGGUAAUUGAGUAGAGCUUGGUUUGACGGGAGGUCAUGUGUUCAAGAGUCGCUUCUCCCCAAUUUGCAUAUUUAUUUCCUCCUAGGCUACCAAUGAUCUCAUUCUUGGAGCAUGUGUUUCUGGUUUGGUAGAAGAAGCAGCAGCCCUACUAUAGAACAAUGGAAGAAGCAUUGGAAUCUUUGUCCCUUCUUCAAGGUCUUUAGAUUUUUUCAAUUUGUUUUCUUUUCAAUUCUCAUGCAUACAUCUAAUUUUCCACUUCCAUAAUAUUUCAACCUCUGGAUGUGAAAUAGUAUUUGUAGAUCAAUCAAAAGUAUUCCAACGUAAUAUGUCACUAUAUAAUAAUCCAAUAUUUCAACCUCUAUAUCUGAAAUAGUAUAUGUAGAUCAAUCAAAAGCAUCCCACCAUGUAUAUUCAGCUAAUGUAAUCGCUACCACCAACAAAACUAAUUAUUGGUUUCAUUUUAAGAUGUUAUAGCUAAUAAAUCCCUACUUUCCUUACCAUCAAUUACUCAAUAGAUAUCAUGCUUCAAUUUAUUCCUAAUUCCAACGGUAAAUCACUGGUAAUAGAAGGCAUGAUAUACAUAUAUAGGGUCAUUUCUUUGAGUGACUUUACUCAAAAGGAUGGUCUUGAUUACAACUAGCAAAUUCUGUUUAUAAGAAGACCCUAUACAAAACUCACAUGGCUAUGAUCAUUACUUGAGUCACUAUCACACAGAAUUCAUACCAGUUUUGCUUACAAAUUGUUCUUAGGAAGAACAUAUUCCAACUGGGGGCUAAUACAAGUAGAGGUUCCAAGCUACAGACCAAGAAGGUAUGUACCAACAGAUACCUAGCUAGGAUUGCUUCUUCUAGUAACGGUUGGUUAUUAGCACAUAAAAAUGUGAGCAGGCAACUAAGUUGGAACCUUAUAGACACCGUUAGUCUCCCUAGCUUAUGAUAAAGAAUCUUUAAGGCCAUUAAGUCAACAGUUCACACUUACUAACUAGGUUUUUCUCUUUGUCGUGACUUUUUUUUUUCUUAUGCUUUUGGUAGAGCCUUGGUUAACACAUAUGCAAUUUGAUCCUCAAUCUUGCAAUAAAGCAGUUUAACUUCACCAUCCUUUUGUUCUUCUCUUAAGUGAUACAACUUGAUCUUGAAAUGCUUAGUCUUGCCAUGAAAAACAUAAUCAUUUGAAAUUGCAAUUGCAGCUUGGUUAUCUACAUGAAUCUGUGUUGGCUCAUUUUGCUUCAUGUGUAGAUCUGCAAGUAUUUUUCUGAUCCAAAUUGCUUGAUUUACAGUAGCAUUGGCUGCUAUAUAUUCUGCAUCUGCUAUACUUUGAGCUAUCACAUCUUGCUUCUUUAAGGACCAUGAAAAAAUUCCAAAUCCAAAGCUGAAACAAAAUCCUGUUGUACUUCUCAUGUCAUCAAUAGAACCUGCCCAAUCACUAUCAGAAUAACCAUGAAGUUUAAAAUUCUGAUAGUAAGAAUAUUUAAUGCCAUAAUUUGUUGUGCCCUUGAUAUAUCUUACAAUCCUUUUGGUAGCUUGAAAAUGCACUUCACUAGCACAAUGCAUGAAUCUUGAAAGCAAGCUUAAUGAAAACAUUAUGUCUGGUUUGGUGGCUGUAAAAUACAUCAAGCAACCAAUCAGGCUCCUGUAUUGGCUUUCAUCCACUUUUUCUGCUCCAUCAUCUUUGCUAAAUUUCUCCUUCUGAUUCAUUGGUGUGCUGGUCCUUUUGCAAUCUUCCAUGUGAAAUUUGUUAAGUAUUUCCUUUGCAUACUUCUUUUGGCUUAUGAAGACUCCAUCAUGAUCUUGCUUCACCUCCAUACCUAGAAAGUAGGACAUCAAGCCAAGGUCUGUCAUCUCAAAUACUUUGAGCAUUUCAGCUUUAAACUCUUUUACCAGUUUCUCAUUGCUACCUGUUACAAACAGAUCAUCAACAUAAACAGAAACUACAAUUAAGUUAGCAUCUGUUCCUUUUAUAUAUAAUGUAGCUUCACUUGGACUUUUAACAAAUCCAAGACUUUGAAGAUGUUCAUCAAUCCUGCUGUACCAGGCCCUAGGAGCCUGUUUAAGACCAUAUAAGGCCUUUUUCAACAAGUAGACCUUCUCCUCUUGUCCCUUGACUUGGAAUCCCUCGGGCUGCUCUACAUAAAUUUCCUCUUGAAAAUAACCAUUUAAAAAAGCAGAUUUUACAUCCAACUGGUAAGUCAUCCAUCCAUUUUGUGCUGUCAAAGCAAGCAACAUUCUGAUUGUAUCCAAGCGUGCUACUGGAGCAAAAGUUUAUGAGAAAUCCACUCCAAACACUUGACUAUACCCCUUCAUAACUAAUCUAGCUUUGUAUUUAUUUAUAGAACCAUCUGUAUUAAGUUUGGUUCUAUAAACCCAUUUGACUCCAAUGACCUUUCUGUGUUGAGGUAUGUCCACCAACUCCCAGGUGUCAUUCUUUUCAAUCAUUCUAAGCUCCUCUUUCAUUGCUUCAGUCCACUUGUCAUCCUUCUCUGCCUCUUCAAAUUCUGCAGGCUCAAAAACAACAACAUUACUUCUUUCAUAAACAUCAGAUAAGGACCUUGUACCUCUAACUAGGGCAUCAUCUAUGUUUUCAUCAAAGUAUUGCGGAACCUCUGGUAGUUGCAUCUUUAUUGACUCCUCCCAAUUCCAUUGUCUAUCCUCUAUGAACUUGACAUCUCUACUUACAAGAAUUUUUCCAUUUUGUGGUUGGAAAAUUCUGUAAGCCUUGGAAGAGUUGCUAUAUCUAAUGAAAACUCCUGGUUCUGCCUUCUUAUCAAGUUUGUCUCUUUUCACCUGUGGCACAUAAGAAAAACAAAGACAACCAAAAGUUCUUGGAUUCUGCAAAUCUGGUUUAUAACCAAACCAGGCUUCAAAUGGAGUUUUUUUUUUUGCAAAACUCUAGUUGGCAGCCUAUUCAGCAAAAAACUGCAGUGUUUGCAGCCUCUGCCCACAAUUUCUUUGGCAACUCCUUCUCAUGUAGCAUACACCUUGUCAUCUCCAUAAUACUUCGAUUUUUUCUCUCACUUACUCCAUUUUGUUGUGGAGUGUAAAGUGUUGUGAGUUGGUGCUCAAUACCGGCUUCUUCAUAGAACUUAUCAAAAAUUUCAUUUGUGUAUUCUUUCCCAUUAUCUGACCUUAUCUUCUGCAUCCUGCAACUGCUUUGAUUCUCCACCCAUGCUUUAUAUUUCCAAAAUACAUUAGGAACCCCAUAUUUGGAUUUGAGGAAAUAAAUCCAACAAAAUCUGGUAUAAUAAUCAAUAAAUGCAAUGUAGUACUUAUUACCAUUUAAAGAUGGUGUUUUCUGAGGUCCUCCAACAUCUGUAUGUACCAGUUGCAGCUUGUGCAUUGCUCUCCAUGUUGUUUGAGGGAAGGGUUUUCUAGUUUGCUUUCCAUAUUGACAAGCCACACAAUCAGCUAGCUUGUCUUGCAGCAAUGGCACACCUUUCACCAAAUUAUGUUUCUGCAUAUAUAGAAGUCCAACAUGGUGGAAAUGCCCGAGCCUUCUGUGCCAUAAUUUUGCAUUGCGUUCAAUGCUUGAAAAUGCUAUUUGCUCAUCCUCCAUUAGAUUUAGAGCAAAGCUUUUUGCUCUCAUUUUCACUUUGAAUACAUCUCUACCUUUCGCGUCUUUGAUCAAGCACCAUUUGUCUUCAAAUAUGACUUUGAAACCUUUUUCAGUUAGCUAUCCAACACUAAGCAGGUUUUGAUCAAUGUCAGGCACAUAUAAAACAUUAGUAAUAUACUUCAAACCUAUUAAGCUUUCUAUAGCCACAGUUCCUUCCUUUACCCUUAACUGAAAUAAAUUCACCAUUUCCAAUUUUUACCUUGGAGAUAAUAGUUUUAUCAAGCUCCUUAAAGAGCUCUUGGUCAUUGGUCAUGUGGUUUGUGCAGCCACUAUCAAUCAACCAAGAAUUGCUAGAGUUGUUACUUGUUGUGAAGCAUGUUGCAACAAAAAGUUUCUCUUCUUGAUGUUGCUUAGUAGAAGCUGUAGGGACUCCUCCCUCCGAGAACACGUGGCACACAUCUUACAGUGACACGUGGCACGCAUCUUACAGUGACACGUGGCACGCAUCUUACAGUGACACAUGGCACGCAUUGUCAUCCGAGUCAUCCUCAUCCGGAUCUUCCUAUAAAGCACACAUGGCGCACUUUUUAUCCGGACUGCCUCAAGGAAGGGCAAACGACGCUUACAAAGCAUAGACAUCCGGACGACUUCCAUUAAUGCGUCCGCUCCACAAUACAUCCGGAUAACCAACAUGGACUAUCCGGAUAUGAUUGUCCGGAUCAUUAACUAAAGUAAAGCGAGUCUUACACUGAUUCGAUGCCCAGUCGGGUCUUUUAAUCAAAAACAUUUAUAAAACCUAUGACCUUAUACUGGCGUAGCAAAGCUACUAUAGUAUAGUAGUUCUAGGGUCGAACUCAGGGAUGAGUUUUCACUCUAUCAGUGACAGACUCUAAAUUAGAAAUUGAUUCUGAUGAUUUCCUUUAGCACAAACUUGAAAUUUAAAAGAAAAUAAAAUUGUUUUGAAAGUGGUGAUUUAAACUAAACUCACAUAGAACUAAGUAAAAAGUGUAAGAAAGAAAGUCUCCCGGAGCUGAAGGUUGCUAGGUUCAAGUGCCAGAUGCAAAGUGGAAAAUUCCGGAUUUUUCUCCUCGCAUUGGGGAUUUAACCUAUAGUUAUUUCCCGAACCGGUAUAGGUUUGACAAUGAAGUUUUAAUCCAUAAAAAGUCACUAGAGAUGGUAGUCAAGGUCCAUUAAUGGCUUAAGACACUAUGGGCUAUCACCUUGAAUCACUUUCCAAUGGCUCGUACAUGAUAACUAAUGGACUGAUAUGGAUCUAGCAAUAAGCAUCCNNNNNNNNNNNNNNNNNNNNNNNNNNNNNNNNNNNNNNNNNNNNNNNNUUCCAAUGGCUCGUACAUGAUAACUAAUGGACUGAUAUGGAUCUAGCAAUAAGCAUCCACAGAGACCUUAAACUUACCAUGUAUUGGCCAGUCAAAGUGAUUCAAAGGAAUUUAAGGCAAAACCUUGGCUUUAUAAACCAUUUAUGGACUCCAACUACCUGAAUUUAAUGCACGAAAACUUUCCAUGUUUUAAUCUGGACUUUUCACCUAGCUUCCUUUACUCCAAGAAACUAAAUGUUUAGCCUCUCAUCCUCUGGGAAAACAUCCUCAGAGGGUGUUUGGCUUACAAGAAAAUAGAAAAUAGAAGAGAGAAAAAGAAAACAAAAGAGAUCUCUGUAUUUCACUAAGUAUCAAAUUUACAUUAGUUGGUCUCCUGGAGAAAGCUCCGAAGCCGAUUUUCAGUGAUUACAAGAGAAUUUAUAUAGGAAGGUAAUUUUACCCUUCCUUGGAUACUUCCUAGCUAAGGAAUUACAUGAGUGGUUGAAUACAAGGAGAAAAUGGAAAUUUAGACACAAAAAUAUCAGAAGAAAAAGAGUCGGCAAAAAUAUCCAAUUUUCGCACGCUGGAGUUCCAAUUUCGCACCUUGGUUUGAGGUGUGCGAAAUUCUCGCACAGUGGACUGAGGAAUUCGCACCUUGCACAGUGGUGUGCGAAAUUGUCCCUCAGCUUGAUGCAGUUGUCUUCCAAAGGCCAUAUCUUUCUCAUUUCAGCUCCAAAUCAUACAUGGUUUGAACCGUUGGAUUCUUGACUUUUGGAGCUUUGAAAUGGUAUAUAGAAUGUAAAAAAUGGACUUCGGAAAGUGCUCCAAAAGUGCGAUGAAAGACUGAAGCUGUGUCCCCUAUUUUCAUCCCCUGUUUUCCUCUUCUCCAUUGUUUCUUCCUUGUAUACUUUGAACGAAUAAGGCAAAGGAUUAUGAGGCUCCAUAGCUUGAUUUCUUCAUAAAUUUAAGCUUUCAAAAGCUUUGCCAUGAACUAUAAAUAGCUCUCCCUCAUUCUUAAAUUGCUUUGGUGAGCAUAAAGCUAUCAAAAAGAACCAAAACUUAACACAAUUGUUAGAAACGAUUGCAAGGGUCCUUAACAUGUUAAUUGGGUUAAAAGGUAAUAAUUACUACUCAAGGGUGUUUAAAAGAGCUAAUUACAAGCUACAAAAUAGCAUGUUUUGAGUAGUAAUCAUACACGCUAUCACAACAACCAACCAUGGCCCACGUCCCAUCACCUGCAGAGUGAAAGGACGGGUUGAGGUGACAACAAGUCACUUCCCACGAUCGUUCUACAUGAUCACUUCCUACGAUCUCUGAUAGCCGCAUCACCUACCACGGUUUCUGACAGCCGCCCGUAGGGUGGUGAUGACCCUGCUGCCAUCUAAAUAUCAUCAUGACAACAUGAAAUAUCUCCCCACCAUUAAUGAGAGGAACAAUACUCCUGACACUAUAUAUAAACCUUCACACGAAGAGGAAGGUAAUCGCCUGAUACCUAGAAAAAGGCCAACUGAUUUAUAUCUCCCUCUCUAACCAUGGCUAACAAAACCAUCGGAGGGUGCGUCCGGACACCCUGUCCGGAUGCCUUUUGCAGGUAUAACGAUUGAAUCAAGAACCUAUUUUGGUUGAGGUCGCGCAUCCAUCCAUUUGGCAACUACGUGGAACACCAGGAGCGCGAGGUAUCAACAUAAGCUUUUGCCUCUUCAUGUUGUCGUGACUUGCAAAUCCACUCCAUGUGUCCAAUCUAACCAUAUUUCUUGCACUUGACAUCAGGCCUCCACCAACACUUCCUUUGUGGGUGAUUUGUCUUUUUGCAGUGUAGGCAAGGUGGAUAGGUUCCAUCCUUGUUUUUGUUGUUGUUGUCAGUCUUGUUGAUCUUCUUCUUAUUGUUGUUUUCUUGUUUUUGCCUCAUCUUGAAUUUUAUGCCUUUGCUUGNNNNNNNNNNNNNNNNNNNNNNNNNNNNNNNNNNNNNNNNNNNNNNNNNNNNNNNNNNNNNNNNNNNNNNNNNNNNNNNNNNNNNNNNNNNNNNNNNNNNNNNNNNNNNNNNNNNNNNNNNNNNNNNNNNNNNNNNNNNNNNNNNNNNNNNNNNNNNNNNNNNNNNNNNNNNNNNNNNNNNNNNNNNNNNNNNNNNNNNNNNNNNNNNNNNNNNNNNNNNNNNNNNNNNNNNNNNNNNNNNNNNNNNNNNNNNNNNNNNNNNNNNNNNNNNNNNNNNNNNNNNNNNNNNNNNNNNNNNNNNNNNNNNNNNNNNNNNNNNNNNNNNNNNNNNNNNNNNNNNNNNNNNNNNNNNNNNNNNNNNNNNNNNNNNNNNNNNNNNNNNNNNNNNNNNNNNNNNNNNNNNNNNNNNNNNNNNNNNNNNNNNNNNNNNNNNNNNNNNNNNNNNNNNNNNNNNNNNNNNNNNNNNNNNNNNNNNNNNNNNNNNNNNNNNNNNNNNNNNNNNNNNNNNNNNNNNNNNNNNNNNNNNNNNNNNNNNNNNNAUUAACAAAUAAGAAGAAUAAGAAAUAUAGUUUCACACUUAAGUAACAACUAAUACUAUAGAGAAAUGACCACAAGCUGGAAAGUCUUGACCAAUUUGAAAAAUCAUUUGAUGUAGUUGAAAUAAUUGAAUUUUGGAUAAAAUUCAUAACUGUCUCAACAUUAUUUUUUUUCCCUUUUUAUUUUUAUUGUUUGAAUAUUCAAGAGUUAAAACCAUUCCAAUGCUCCUUUUUGCCAUGUAUAAUUAAACUGAACCAACAAUUAGGAUAAGCACGAAAAAGAAGGAACCGAGAAGAAGAUAUCAACAAUAUUAACCGGUUUUAUUAUGGGACAACUCAUGAUGUUCAUAUUGAUCUAUUAUGCGCCUUUGCAUCUAGCAUUAGCUAGACUCAUACUGUCCUAGCUCUACUAUAUCUUUUAUUUCAUUUCGAUCUUCUGAAACAAUCACAAACACUUUUCAUUAUUAUUAUUAUUAUGAAUCAAAUGGGACAUAAAUGAAAUUAACAAAUGAGAAGAGUGAAAAAGGUAAUUAACAAAAUUUCAAGCUCAUCGUUGCUAAAUAUUUUAUAAGUAAAAAUUGCCCAAGAAACGAGCCUUUAAAAGUGUACCUUUAUUUAAAAAUAAAUAAAGGUAAAUUAAAGUAUUGACUUAGUACAUAAAUAUCAACACGAUUCCAAUCCAACGCAUUUUUUUGUGGGUUUUGGUUGAAUAUAAUUCUAUUUAUAUCAAAUCCGUAUCAACUUGUGUAAUAUAUUUUACUAAUAGGUUAUUUUUAAAUCAACAUACAUAACAUGAAUUUGACUCAAGUUAACCUUUAUAUUUAAUAAUCAUACCAAUUAACCUAAUUAUAAUUCUAACCGUUUAAUUAAUAUUUGAUUCAUUUUAAAUUUAUUUUUGAACAAAUAGUUAAUUAAAUUAUAACUAUAUUAACUUGUAAGAUUAAUUAUAUAAAUUUAUACAAAACUUAACUCAAUUAAAAAUUUGAUUUAAAUGAGUUAAAUAAAUUACAAAACAUGUUAUUUGUUUAAUAAUUACAUUGUAUUUAGGUUUAUGCUUUUUACUUUAUUAAUAUCAUUAUUAUGAUUGAGUCAACCUAUUUAGUAGAAUGUUUUAGUCUUGAUAUCACACAAAUUGUCAUCCCUAUCUCUAAUCUUGUCAAACAAAUAGUUUGAACGACAUAUUUUUUUAACUAAAGAAAAUUAUUACCUUACAUAGAGUUUUAUUAAAAAAAAAAAGCCAAAUAAAAAAAUGUAAUUAAAAAUAAUUACAAAUUUAUGCAUUUUCAAAUUAUUUAAUAAAUUUAAAGAAGUGAAAUGGAUUUAAACUGACUUAUAAAAAUAAGUUAUCAACUUCAAUUUUUUUUUCUUUCUAAUUUUUUUUUUAAUUUUUUUCCCUCACAUUUUUUUCCAUAGUUAUAGGAAACCAAACAUAACCUAAUUAGGAUCCUACUAUCAUGUUUUUUUAUUCCCAAAAGUUUUUGGGUCUAACCUUUUUCUAAACUUAUUUCAAAGGGCAUCUAUAACACAAGAUAUUAAGUGUGCUUGCUCGACAUGUAGUCUUUCAUUGAUUUCCUUUUCGAUUAAAAACUUUUAGACAAGUCAGAUAUAUAGUUUUUGCUUUCUUAACAGAAAUCAAAGUCUAAGGUGGUGUUUGUUUUUUUACUUAAUUCUAAAUAGAACCUUAAUACUUAAUAGUAUUAAAUAUUAGGUUGUUUGUUUUUGUAGUAUUUUAUUUCUAUUAAGUAUUAAAAAGUAAAAAAAAUCAUUGUGUUAUUUUUUCUAUUUAGAAAAAGCCACAUAUUUUGGCUUUUUCUAUUUAGUAAAAAGUUUAUAAUAAGUCAUGAAAAAGUAAAAAAACAAACAAUCUAAAUUCUAAAACUAAAUGGUUUUCAGCAAAAAGCCAAAAAAACAAACACCAUCUAAGUCUUUGCACAAAAUCCUAAUCAAAGAGAUCUUUUAGAAAUCUUAUUGGAAGAGAAUUUAAAACCAGAGUGGUGACAAAAGCACACGAACAAAUAAAACUGGACAAAGAAAUUAAGCAUCUCGAUGAGUUGAUAAAUAUCUUUGUCAAUGCUUCUACUUGAGAGAGAAAUACAUUAGAUUUCUACACUUUUGAAUAGUUGCCUUGAGUGACUCCAAUUAUUGGAAGCCAAGGUCAAGGUCGUUGAAGUUUGUCCAUUUUUUCCCUUGGUCCCACAUUAUUUGCUUCUCCUUAAUUUCCUCUGGUUUGGGAAAAGGACAUUCACACGGUUUGGUGUAGGAACCACCCUUUCCUUUAGUAUCCAUGAUUACUUUUCUACCCAAUAAUGAGGAAAACAUUUAUGAAGGCCCCAUGUGAGGACUAUUAUUGGUGACUCUAGAAAUAGAGCUAUUCAAUUUCCCUCAUAAAUAGUGUAACAUCCAAAAUAAAUUUUAGAGACAAAAUAGUAAAUUAUUAAUUAAUUAAACUUAUUAAAAAUAAACGAGUCAUUUUACAAUUAAAAAUUGUAUCAAUUAGAUUUUCAAUUUAUCUUCUUUAUUUAGAAAACUUUAUUAACAAAAAAUCAAAUAAUUGAAGAACGUAAGGUUAAAGAUUUGGAAGUCUAUAGUUUGAAGUUCAAUUAUUUUUUUUCAAGUAAGAUUCUAACCCUAGAUUAAUAUAUUAUAUUCAUUAGUUAGUUUUGACUAUGUUAGAUAUUUUUAGAAAAUUUUAAUUUAGAUUAUAAUUAGUUUAUUUAAUUUAUUUUAAGAUAUAAAAAAUUGAAAUUAUGAAUGUUGUUUCAUUGAUGAAAAUAAAGAAAUUCAAAAUUAUUUUAGAUGAAUAAAUCUAAACAAUGAAAUUUAAAAAAAUUAAAUGAUUAAAUAAGUAUAUGAUUAUAUGUGGCUUAAGGGAUUGAAAAAUAAUAAAAAGAAGAAUAACAUGUUUUUGGAUUUUGGAUUUGAGGAAUUUUUUAAUAAUAAAAAUAAUUAAGGUUUACUAUUAAUAAGAAUAAUGAUAAUAAUGAUAUUAAUAAUAAUAAGAAGAAGAAUUGUGUGAAGAAUAAUUUCAUCUUCAACGUAGAAAUGUGAUUGUCAAGGCCUCAGUGAAGAGAACGGUAACGGACCCUGCUGUAAACGACGAUGGGUCACGAGCAAAUGGUGAAAUUGCGGAUGAACCCCACAACUGUAAAGUGCUUUUGACGCGUAAUGGGUUCCACCACUACCAUUAUUGGGGAAUCUUUCUGGUGGAUGAAAAGCCGCUUUUGGGUUCACGGUUGACUCAUUAAAUCUCCUACCUAUCUCUGAGUUUGUCAACUGAGACCACCGAGUUUUAUUUAUUUAUUUAUUUUUUUCUUUUCCUCGGUUCAAUUUUUGUUUCCAAUACGAGGAAAAGGGCUUUCAAGUCUGACACGUGGAAAGUCAGUGGGCUUCAUAAUUUUGUUACAUUUUUAGGGUUUGUUGGAGCUGCAAUAGGGACAAUAAUUUUUGUAUGGAUAAGCUACAAAUCAGAUAUCGAAUCUAAAACAAAUGUUUAAUGGUGCAACUAAAAGAUGUUUUUUCAAACAUUUUAUUUAUAUUUUUUAUGUGAAAUAUGUUUUUUUUUUUCUCCCAAAGAAUAGAAAACUAUUUUUAAAAAAAUGUUAUUAACAAAAUCUAAGUAUAAAAUCAAUUAAAAACAAUGAGAUUUUUUUUCUUAAAAUUUUCUAUGAUAAGAUAACAUUAGAAUGACACUAUUAGCAAAAUAAAAAUUUAAAGCUAAAUAUACAUUCCUACAAUGUGAAUAAUUAAAUAGCACACAAUCUAAUAUAAUUAUUUAAUUUAUUUUUAAAUUAGAUAUUAUUUAAUUAAUUACCAAAAUUUAGAAAAAAAAAAUCAAGCUCAAAAUUAAAGAGAACCUAAAUUUUUUUAAAAAAAAUUAUUUAAUAAAAUGUCAAAUACAAAAUUACCAAAAAAAAAUUAACAUUAUUAGAAAAGUUAUAAUAAAAUUAAAAUUUACAUUUAAUGCAAGAAAGAAAAAUAAAUAAAAUGUUGAAUGCAUGAAAAAAAUUAAAUUGAACUUUUAAAACUCAAAAUUAAAUUUAUGGGGUUUCUAUUUUAUUUUUUAUUAUUCGAAAACCUUAUUUAUAUCUAUGAGAUUUUUUAGGGGACUCGCCCAUCUACUGGCUUGGUCAAUGUAAUAUAAACUUCUUUUAAUCAUAUAAAUGUAUUUUAAAAUCAUGAAUAUUGAUUGUGCUCAAAGUAAAUAAUAUCGUAAAUACAUAUUCUGUUCAAAGUGGAUAAUAUCUACAUAAGAAAAAGCAAAUUAUUAUAAAUGAUAUUAAAAUCAAUCCUUGAAUAUGCGAGACUACCUAAAUGGUCUUAGAGGGAUGUUUAUGUGUUUGACCUUUGCAUGGUAUAAGUAAUGAGAUCUAUCUUAUCACCGACCAAUCAUGAAAUAUGAUAUAAUAUUCAUAUUUUAUCUUAUUUUAUACUAUAUCCGGUUAACCAAACAUGACCUAAGGUUAAUUGUUGUAACUAGUCAAGUUUUAGCCAUGACGGAUGCAUACUCAAUCAUGGUAUUAUCUCAGCCUUUUGGGCUUCCAGGACUGGUCCUUUAAAUUUGGGCUCAAACCCAACCUAAUGGAAGAGGGCCUUAACUCAGUUCAUGGGCCUGUCUAGCCUGCCGCGCUGGUUUCCAACUGGCUCGACCCAGCCUAGACUAGGGGUCGUGCCCGUCCACUAUAUUGUUAUAAUUUUUAUAGGAUCAUAGGUGAUUUAUUCUUUGAAUUUUAUAGUAAAGAGACAAAGCUUGAUAAUAAGAAUUUGGACAUUGUCUAAAAAAUUUUAAGGGUGUUUAGCAUCUAAAUUUUGAGAAUUUUUUUGGCUAUAAAAAAAUUUGAGAAAAACUACAAAGAAAAUAAAAUAAAGAAAAAAAGUAAAAAGGAAAAAAAAUGAUGAAAAAUAAUGAAUAAAUUUAAAGUUCAUGCGAUAUUUUUAUAUGUUAUUUAAAAAAAAUUAACUCUUAUAUAUAAAGGUUGAAUAAUUUGAAAAUAUAUAGAUUUCUAAUUAUAUUAAAUUUUCUUACAUAUUUUUAAUGAUAAAAUCAAAUAUGAAAUCAAACAUGAGAAUAUAAUUUUUCUUAAUAAUUUUUAUUUUUAUUUUUUUAACAUUUUUCUUUCUUUUUAUGAUACAUACUCUUAAGUCUAAUCCAAUGAGGUAGAGGUAGUUGUACAUAGAAGGUCCAACUAAUGUUGGUUGAUGUGGGACAUUGAACUUUCGUCUGUCCUAUGUAGUGAACCUANNNNNNNNNNNNNNNNNNNNNNNNNNNNNNNNNNNNNNNNNNNNNNNNNNNNNNNNNNNNNNNNNNNNNNNNNNNNNNNNNNNNNNNNNNNNNNNNNNNNNNNNNNNNNNNNNNNNNNNNNNNNNNNNNNNNNNNNNNNNNNNNNNNNNNNNNNNNNNNNNNNNNNNNNNNNNNNNNNNNNNNNNNNNNNNNNNNNNNNNNNNNNNNNNNNNNNNNNNNNNNNNNNNNNNNNNNNNNNNNNNNNNNNNNNNNNNNNNNNNNNNNNNNNNNNNNNNNNNNNNNNNNNNNNNNNNNNNNNNNNNNNNNNNNNNNNNNNNNNNNNNNNNNNNNNNNNNNNNNNNNNNNNNNNNNNNNNNNNNNNNNNNNNNNNNNNNNNNNNNNNNNNNNNNNNNNNNNNNNNNNNNNNNNNNNNNNNNNNNNNNNNNNNNNNNNNNNNNNNNNNNNNNNNNNNNNNNNNNNNNNNACCCUAUAGAGUAGUAAUCUGCUCCCUUUAGUUAUGCCUGUAACGUAGGGAUUAUACAACUCAUGUCCACACUCUCCCUCAAGUUGGUGCAUAGAUGUCGUUGAUGCCCAACUGCAUACCAUCUUAGUGAGGAUGUCUGCUAGUUGGUCUUCUGAUUUGAAAAAUGGGAAUCAGAUUAUAUUAACUUCUAAGUUUUUCUUGAUAAAAUGUCGGUCUACUUCCACAUGCUUAGUUCAAUCAUGUUGGACUAGGUUAUAAGCAAUAUCAAUGGCUGUCUUGUUAUCACAAAGCAAGUUCAUCUCGCAACAAGGAGAAUAGCCAAUUUCUAUCAAUAAUCUUCUCAGCCAGAGUAACUCACACAACCCCUUAGCCAUUCCUCGAAACUCCGCCUCUGCACUAGAUAGUGCUACUGAUUCGUGCCCGAUUGGUGUUCCAAUUGAUUCAACUCAAUUGAUGUGCUUUGAUCUCAAUCCUCAGACGGGAGUAAUCAACAAAAUUUAUAAACCUAUUUCACCAUAUACUGGGGUAGCAUUUAACUAGCAUAGUAUAGUGGCUCUAGGAUCGUCCACAGAGAUGGGUUUUCACAUCGCAAUUGAUAUUAGUUCAAAAAUUGAAUUGGUACUUUUUAUUUUCUUUGUUAGCUUUAAAAGAAGACAUAAGUUUGAAUGAAAACGGAUGGUAUUAAGCUAACCUAACAUAAAGUAAUUGAUUUUACUUACAAAGAAAAGUGUUUCUUGGAGUUUUAGAUCACUAGGCUCAGAUUCCUCAUACAAAAAGGGAGUUCCGGUCACUUGCUUCUUUUCCUCGCAUUAGAGAAUUAACAUAUAGUUAAUUCUCUAACCGGUGUGGUACAGAUGCUUCCCAUUAAUGGGUUCAAACACUAAAUUCCUCUCACUGAUGCACCUUGCAAUGGCUCAUACCUCUCACCAAACACUUUCCAUUCAAGGUGAUCUUUAACCUUGGAUUACCCGUCAAAAGCGAACAAGAGAUAACAAUUAGACCUCCAUGGAGCAAGAUUGCAAGCAAUAAGAAUCCAUGGAAUUCGAAAGCUUACCAAAUAUUGGCUAUUCUAGAAAAUCCUACCUUUAAACCACCUACCAAAAGCUCGCAAGAGAUAAACUAGUGCAUCUCUAUGGACGGAGAUCACUUGCCUUACCAAGUGUUAGCUCAGGUGAAUUGAAGGCGUUUUAAGUUAACUAAAAAGAUAAAAACCAUUAACGGGUCACACUUUCUCUUCAUUAAAAACUAAAACAACAAAACUUUCAAUUUAUGCAUGUGGAAACUUACCCGGCUUUCCUCACUCCAAGAGACGAAGAGCCUAGCCUCUCAUCCUCUGAGGAAAAAUCCUCAGAGUUUGGUUAGCUAGAAAGAAAAAGAAAAUGAAAAUGAAAGAGAAGGAAAAACAAAGCAAAGCUCUUUAUAUUCUAUAUACUUAUAUAUCUAUAUCUUUUACAAUGGAUGCAAGGGAAUAUAUAUAGAGAAGUUUUUCCAACCUUCCUAGCUAAGAAAUCUUAUGGUUGGUGGAUUACAAGGAGAAGAAUGGAAAUUUAUACAAAAAUAUCUGAAGAAAAUAUCUAAAAGAGUUGGUGCACAAAUAUCCCAGUUUGCAUGUAGAUUUCGCACGUUGCAUGGUGACUUGCGAAAAUCUCGCAAGUUGAUUUCGCAACUUGGAAUCCAUUUUCGCACGUUGAGCUCCAAGUUCGCAAGUUGCAAAAUCACUUUCGCAAGUUGGGCUUCUCUGUGACUGUGCGGCUGUAUUCCAUUUCCAUUUCGCAAGGUAGGCUUUAAUUUCGCACGUUGGAGUUCCAAAUUCGCAAGAUGCGAAUUUGUCCUUCAACUGGGUACAGUUGUCUUGUGAAAGCCAUAUCUUCCUCAUUUCAGCUCCAAUUCGUACACUGUUUGAAGCGUUGGAUUCUUGACUUCCUGAGCUUUGAAAUGGUAUAUAGCAUGUAGAAAAUGGACUUCGGGAAGUGCUCCAAAAGUGUGAAAGAAGACUGAAGCUGCUGUCCUCUAUUUUCUUCACUCUGUUUUUCCUCUCUCCGUUGUUCUUUCCUUGCAUACUUUGAACGAAUUUGGCAAAGGGCUAUGGAGCUCCAAAGCUUGGUUCUUCAUGAAUUUGAGCUUCCAAAAGCUUUGCCAUGAACUAUAUACAGCUCUCCCUCAUUCUUGGAUUGCUUUGGUGUAGCUAAAAGCUAUCAAAAACACCAAAACUUAACACAAUUUGCUUAGAAACGAUUGCAAGGGUCCUUAACAUGUCAAUUGAGUUAAAAGGUAAUAAUUACUACUCAAGAGUGUUUAAAAGAGUUAAUUACAAGUUACAAAAUAGCACUUUUUGAGUAGCAAUCAGCUACUACUUUAUGUUUUUUUACUUCGACAUGUUUUCAAGUUUCUCCAACAAAUGUGAGGUAACCUGAUGUGGAUUUCCUAUCGGAGAUAUUUCUUGCCCAAUCAACGUCGAUAUACCCUAUAAUUUCCAGGUACCCAUUCUUUGAGAACAUAAUUCUCUUCCCUAGGGUUCCCUUAAGGUAUCUUAAAAUUUGAGUCACUACAUUCAUAUGAUCUUCACUAGGGCAAUGCAUGAACUGAUUCACUACACUGACCGCAUAGACAAUAUCAGGUCGGGUAUGUGAAAGAUAAAUUAGUUUUCCAACCAAUCUCUGAUAUUUGCCUUUAUCAGUGGGGAUCUGGUCAGGGUAUUCUCCAAGCCUAUGAUUCUAUUGUAUUGGAACAUCUGUCAGUUUACAGUCUAGCAAUCCAACUUUUGAUAAUAGAUCGAGAGUAUACUUUCGUUGGGAAAGAAAGAUACCUCGUUUAGAUUGAGCCACCCGAAUUCCUAGAAAAUAUUUCAACCAAGCCAAACUCUUUAUUUCAAACUUUGCUGCCAACUGUUUUUUAAGUUUCGCAACUUCCUCGGUAUCAUUACAUGUGAUGAUCAUAUCAUCUACAUACACUAUUAGUGUUGUUACCUUGCCUUGUCGACGCUUUAGAAAUAGAGUGUGGUCAUAAUUGCUUUGUUGAAACCCAUACUUUCUCAUUGCUAGGUUGAGGCGUCCAAACCAAGCUUGUGGAGACUAUUUCAAGCCGUACAGGGUGGGCCACAGUUUACACACUGUCUUGCCAGACGUUUCAAUGUACCCAUGGGGAAUAUCCAUAUAAAUUUCUUCUUCGAGGUCACUAUGGAGGAACACAUUCUUUACAUCAAAUUGGAGUAGCGACCAAUCAAGAUUCACUACAAUAAAUAGAAGGACUCUUAUAGUGUUCAACUUGGCUACAAGUGAGAAGGUCUCCAUAUAGUCAACUCCAUAAGUCUACGUAUAUUAUUUCGCUACAAGCCUCACUUUUUAGCACUCAAUUGACCCAUCCACCUUGUAUUUGAUGGAGAAUACCCAUUUGCACCCCACUAUCUUGUGGCAUUCUAGUAAAGAGACAAGAAUCCACGUCUUGUUUUUCAACAAUGCUUCCAUUUCUUCCUUUAUUGGUUGGACCCACCUAGGGUCUUGUAGAGCCUCCUCUAUGCUUGUUUGAAUGUGAUGCGCUGAUAAUGCAUUAGAAAAGCUCUUUAAGGGUUCUGAAAGCUUCUUUGUUGAGACGUAAUUGGCAAUUGGGUACUUUGAUUUGUGUGUCUCAAUAUUUGGAGAAUAGCAUUUUGGUAGUUUGCCACGAUUGUGCUUGGAAGGUAACUAAUAACCAUCGUCAGUUAAAUGUUUUGUGGCAAGAGGAAAACUUACCUUAGGAACCUCUUCAGGAAUAUUCUCAGAAGUUGGGUCAUGAGGUACUUUAGAAUGAGGGGGUGUCUCAGGAAUUGGAGUUGGUGUCUCAGUAGUCAGCAUUGGUGGCUCUGUAGCUAUUCCAUACCCAUGGUAGUUGGUGGCUCUAUAAUCAGUGGGAUGUCUGGGAUGUCUUUGAACCAAUUCAACUCUUCAUCGUGUGUCUUCCCCUUAAGAGAAGAAUUGGAUGGAUGAUAGAACAUCUCAGACUCGAGGAAGGUGACAUCCAUAGUAACAUAGAGCCGCAUGUUUGUUGGAUCAUAGCACCAGUAACCUUUUUGAUUGGUGGCAUAGCCUAGAAAGAGACAACGACAAGCACAAGGAUCGAGUUUAGUGCGCUGGUUGCAGUGAAGAUGAACAUAGACAACGCAUCCAAAGGUUCGGGGAAGAAGCGUCGUAGUCGAAAGUACUCAUAUACUCGAGGCUAAGGCCUGUAGAGGUGUUUUGAAAUCCAGAAUUUGGAAUGUCAUUCGAUUAAUGAGAUGCACAAUAAUUGUAACCGCAUUAGGCCAGUAAGGACUAGGUACAUGUGCACUUAAUAGGAGGACACGUGUGGUCUCGAGAAUAUGGCGAUUCUUACGUUCUACUACACCGUUUUGCUCUAGAGAAUGAGGACACGAGGUUUGAUGUAUCAACCCAUGUUGGUGGAAGUACUUCUGGAAUUGUCGAUUCAUGUAUUCAGUGCCAUUAUCAAAGGAAAAAACUCCGAGUUUGGCAGAAAAUUGGGUUUGAGUCAUUGUGUGAAAAGAGCAGAAGACAGUAAAAACCUCAUCUUUGUUUGUCAGUAGGUAGAGCCACAUCAUUCAAGUGCAAUCAUCAACAAAGAGAACAAAUCAGCGAUAACCCGAUAGAGUAGAUUUUAGGGAUGGUCCCCACACAUCAGAAUGAAUUAAGCUAAAAGGUACAUCACUCUUAUUCUUAUGUAAAUGAUAAAUUAUCCGGUGACUUUUGGCCAAAAUACAAGUUUCACAUUGAAAAUCUGAGAUAGAGAAAUCAGAAAAUAAACUAGGUAGUAAAUGCUUCAAAUAUCCAAAUGACGGAUGGUUGAGUCGUCGAUGCCAAAGUCAUAUCUGUUCUAUUCUAGAAUCACCCGACUAUCCCACAUGAUGAGUUUGUCCCAUUUUUAACAGAGCCAUGUUAAAAAUCUCUUAUCUUUCUUUAUUUUCAUGUGUUUGGUUUGGUUAAUGUAGGAGAUCUCCAUCCAAUCUGCAUUUCGCUCAACCAUCCGACAUCAGAAAAUGGAUACAAACUAGAAGUACUUUGCCCUUCCCUACUAUGCAGUCGCUUGUCACCAAAAAUGGUAAGUCCUGGUUGAACUCCAGAAGUCUGCUCAUGGGUGAAAUUCAUCUACAUCCCCAAAAAAUCUCCACCAUACCACUUUCUUGGAAAAUUUGGUUGGAAUCCUGGCAAAUACUUGCACAAAAUCCGAUUUCUACUAUUUCAACUGGCAAAACUCUCACUGGGAUUAUUCCCACUGCACCUAUCUUUUGGUUUCUGGAAAAGCGAAUACCAAGAGGCCGUCUCAUUACGGAACUGUAGAUGUUGUAUCUUGCCGAAAAAUUUCAUCACCAACCUCCUAUAAUAAAGAGAGGUUGUAUCUUGAAAGUCAUAAUCAUAUCCUCCAAGUGAGCUUUUUCUUCUAUCAUCACUGAUAGUGGUAGAUAAAAACCAAACUAGAGCACUGAUGAAAAGAUUGAAAUUGCAUUGGGUUCUUUUAAGAUUGAAGAAGAGAACAGUGGAAAAGGCAUUAUGGGUAAAAGAAUUGUCAAACUUGUAAGAUUUGUUUCUAUUUCUUUUGGUCAUUGGUCAAGUAGUCAUUACUUUUUUAUUUUUUAUUUUAUUUUUAUUUUUUAAAAUCAACUCUUGAUUCAAUGAUUUCACAAUGCAUGUAUCAAUUGGAUGAUGAUUCUUGAAUUAGAAAUUUCCUUCCACACAAUAUGAUUAUAAAUAAAUACACAAGAAAAAUGAGCAACAGAACUACCAAAGAAUCAAACAGUUUUAGGUCUACUUCGCCUUGCAGCCUUAAGGCAAAAAUAUAGAAAAUAAGAUGGGAAGUUACUGAUUUACAAUUGGUGUAGAGAACAAUCGAAUAGAUAUUCAUGAAAUCAAUUUACACUAAAACACACCUGUGAUUAUGUCCUAAGAAAUCCAAUUCUGAUGCAACAUAUAUGAAGUUGAUAACACCAACAAACAAGACUGAACUUUGGCUGAUUCUCCCUAACUAUCUACCUUCUUCUAAGCUGACAGUUAUCUCAUUGUUGGAGCAUGUUUUCGGAUUGGUGGAAGAGGAAGGAGCUAAGCUGGGCGGCCCUCUUCUCACAACAAAGGCUGGUUGCUAGGGUAUUGGAAGUGUGGCUAUCUCACUAUUGAGCAUGAGAAAUGCAUUGGGCAUGGUGGGGCGAUCACUUGGGUCUUCUUGUACACACAACAACCCAACAUUUACACACCUCAAGAAUUCAUUAGUGUUGCAUGUUUCACUUAGUGUCUGGUCCAUCAAAUCAUACACCUUGUCUUCUUUCCACAAUCUCCAUGUUUGGAACAAUUCUCUUGAUAUUAAAAUUAGAUUUGCUAAAGUAAAAUGAUAGGUUGGGCAAUCAUAUCAAUUUGAUAUAUAAUAUAAAGAUUUUUUUUCUAGGGGAGGUCAUCAAUUCAAACCUCAUUGUUUGUUUAUUUUCUUUAUUUACUAAGCUUACAUGCAAAUCUAAAGAAGGCCACUUGUGAGAUAAUGUUGAAUGACAUGUCCUAGGAGCUGCUGACAUGGAGCUACGUAGAAUGAAGUGGAAGUAGUUAAAAUAAGUUAGUCAUGUGGAAGAUUUACCUAUUCCUUAGGAAGUAUUUGUUGGUUUGUUUUUAUUCUUUAGGAAGUAUCUAUAGGUAGCAUGUUUGUUGCUAUUUUUAUGUUUUUCUGUUUUAAGCUAGCUGUAUAAAUAAGUGCUUUGAAGCUUAAUAAAAUAUAACUUCAGAUUCCUCAACAUUAUGUUGCUUCUUGAGAGUUUCUACCCUUUGUUUUUAUCAAAACCUACAAAUUGGUAUCAGAGUUGUUGUUAUUGAGUAACCUGUGAGGUGAGUGAGCCUAUACACCACCAUCUACCCUAUCCAAAACAAUAUCCAUGUUGUUCUUGAGUAACCUGUGAGGUGAGUGAGCCUAUACACCACCAUCUACCCUAUCUAAAAGAAUAUCCAGAAUGACCUCAGAAGCUUCACUGAAUGCAGUGGCACCUCCAGUGUUUGAUGGAAUAAAUUAUCAAGUGUGGGUUGUCUGUAUGGAAGCCUACCUUGAUGCUAGUGAUCUGUGGGAAGCUGUUAGUGAGGAAUAUGAAGUUCCUCCCCUGUCCGACAAUCCAACUAUGGCUCAGAUAAAACUACACAAUGAGAGGAGGCAAAGGAAAUCAAAGGCAAAAGCUAGUCUAUUUGUAGCUGUCUCAUCCACAAUUUUCACCAGAAUCAUGGCAUUGAAGACGAAAAAUGAAAUAUGGAACUUCCUGAAGAAGGAAUAUGAAGGAAAUGAAUGAGUCAAAGGUAUGCAAGUGCUGAACCUGAUUAUAGAGUUUGAGAUGCAAAGGAUGAAAGAAUCAGAAACAAUCAAGGAUUACUUAGACAGACUUCUUAGUAUUGUUAACAAAGUAAGACUUCUUGGUACUGACUUUUCUGAUUCUAGAAUAGUUCAAAAAAAUUUUAUAACAGUUCCUGAAAAGUUUGAGACUACAAUAUCAUCUCUAGAAAACUCAAAAGAUGUGUCAAGUAUCACCUUGGCAGAGCUGUUGAAUGCAUUACAGGCUCAAGAACAAAGGAGGCUUAUGAGACAAGAAGAAUAUGUGGAGGGUGCAUUUCAGGCCAUAUCUCAGUACAAGAAAGAAAUGCAAAGCAACAAUAACAGCAGCAACAACACUCAAAAGUUUCCACCAUGUCCUUACUGUAAAAAAUCCAAUCAUCCACAAAAAAAGUGUUGGUGGAGGUUGGAUGUAAAAUGUCACAAGUGUGGUCAGCUAGGGCAUGUGGAAAGAAUAUGCAAAUCUCAACAGCAGCUAGGAGAAGUCAAGGUUGCUGUGGAAGAACUUCAAGAUGAGCAACUGUUUGUGGUAUCAUGCUUUUUCACUAGCAGCUCCCUAGAAACUUGGCUUAUAGACAGUGGUUGUACAAACCAUAUGACUUAUGAUCAAGGGCUCUUUAAGGAACUUGACAAAACUGUUACUUCCAAAGUUAGAGUUGGAAAUGGAGCAUAUCUUGCAGUAAAAGGCAAAGGCACCAUGGCAAUUGAAGGCCACACAGGUUUGAAAUUAAUCUCUAAUGUCUUAUAUGUUCCUGAGAUUAAUCAAAAUUUGCUGAGUGUUGGUCAGCUAUUGGAAAAAGGCUAUAAGGUGUUGUUUGAGGACAAUCAUUGCAUGAUUGCUAAUGGACAAGGCAGAGAGGUAUUUAUAAUCCAAAUGAAAGACAAAAGCUUUGCCUUGGAUUUGAUACAAGAAGAGCAAGUUGAAAUUCACAAAGAAAAAACAAUACAAUGCUUUGGCAUAGGCGUUUGGGGCACUUUCAUCAUACCGCCCUGCUCUUUAUGANNNNNNNNNNNNNNNNNNNNNNNNNNNNNNNNNNNNNNNNNNNNNNNNNNNNNNNNNNNNNNNNNNNNNNNNNNNNNNNNNNNNNNNNNNNNNNNNNNNNUUAAAUAUGAAGUGCUACAUUUUUGGAAGUUUAAAGCUUGGGAUGAAAAUCAAAGUAAAUGUAAAAUGCAAGUGAUCAGGUCUGAUAAUGGAACUGAAUACACCUCGGAGAAAUUUAACAAAUUUUGUGAAGAUGCAGGCAUUGAGCACCAGCUUACAACACCUUAUACCCCUCAACAGAAUGGAGUCGUUGAGAGGAAAAAUAGAACACUUAUGGAAAUGACAAGGUGUUUGCUGCAUGACAAAUGGCUGCCAAAGAAAUUCUGGGCUGAGGCUGCACAUACAUCAAUCUUUCUGCUGAAUAGACUGCCAACAAAAGCUUUGCAACAAAAUACUCCAUUUGAAGCAUGGUAUGGCUAUAAACCAAGGCUACAAAAUUUAAAAACAUUUAGUUGUCUUUGUUUCUCUUAUAUUCCACAUGUUAAGAGAGACAAAUUGGAUAAAAAAGCUGAAGUUGGGAUCUUUAUAGGCUAUAGCUCAAUAUCAAAGGCCUAUAGAAUCUACCUUCCAGAAAAUAACAAAGUGAUAGUUAGCAAAGAUGUCAAAUUCUUUGAAUCAGAAAGUUGGAGUUGGGAGAAUGAUAAGAAGCUUGAGUUUAAAGAGAAUCUUGAGUUCCAAAAGGACCUUGAGUUUCAGGAGGAGCAUGACAAUAUUGAUGAUGAACCUAUCAGGGGAACCAAAUCACUCUCUAACAUCUAUCAGAGGUGCAAUGUUGCUAUAAUAGAGCCUGCAGGGUAUGAAGAAGCUACAACUGAUAAAAAAUGGAUGGCUACAAUGAAGGAGGAGCUUAAAAUGAUUUUGAUGGACAAACCGACACACAAAAGGGCAAUUGGAGUCAAGUGGGUUUAUAGAACCAAACUCAAUUCCGAUGGUUCUAUAAACAAACACAAGGCAAGACUAGUUGUCAAAGGAUAUGCUCAGAUGUUUGGGGUGGAUUUCUCUUAGACUUUUGCCCCAGUUGCUAGAUUGGACACUAUAAGAAUGUUGUUGGCUCUUGCUGCUCAAAAAGGCUGGAAUAUACAUCAGAUGGAUGUCAAAUCAGCCUUCUUGAAUGGAUACUUGGAGGAAGAAAUUUUUGUGGAGCAGCCUGAAGGUUUUAUUGUUCAAGGAAUGGAGGAGAAAGUAUAUUUGCUGAAAAAGGCCUUGUAUGGUUUAAAACAGGCACCAAGGGACUGGUACAGUAGGAUUGAUUCACAUUUGUUAGGCAUAGGCUUUACAAAAAGCCUAAGUGAAUUUACUCUAUACUUCAGGAAGGUUUGUGAUGAAACACUUGUGGUAUCCUUAUACAUUGAUGAUCUACUUGUGACAGGAAGCAGUAUGGAGCAAAUUGUUAAUUUCAAAAAGGAAAUGAAUGAUGUUUUUGAGAUGACUGAUCUUGGAAGGAUGACAUUCUUUCUUGGCAUGGAAGUACAACAAAAAUAGAAUGAGAUCUUCAUAUGUCAACAAAAAUAUGCCAAGGAAAUCCUGAAAAAGUUCAAAAUGGAAGAGUGCAAUCCAAGUGCAACUCCAAUGAAUCAAAAUGAGAAGUUUUGCAAAAAAGAUGGAGCUGCAAAAGCUGAUGAAAGGCUUUACAAGACCAUUAUUGGGCGCUUGAUGUACCUAACAGCAACUAGACCAGAUAUUAUGAAUGCAGUAAGUUUACUCUCAAGGUACAUGCAUUGUGCUAGUGAAAUUCACUUUCAAGCAGCAAAAAGAAUUGUUAGAUAUGUCAAGGGUACAAUUGACUAUGGUUUGAGGUUUUGUCAAGUUAAAAACUUUACUCUUCAUGGUUAUUCAGAUAGUGAUUGGGCAGGUUGUGUUGAUGACAUGAGAAGUACUUUAGGUUAUUGUUUCAGCUUUGGUUCUGCUAUUUUUACAUGGUGUUCCAAAAAGCAAGAAGUCAUAGCCCAAUCCACAGCAGAAGCAAAAUAUGUAGCUGCUGCUGCUGCUAUGAAUCAGGCUUUCUGGAUCAGGAAAUUGAUGGCUGACUUGUUUAUGGAGCAAAAGAAAAGCACACAAAUACUCGUAGACAACCAAGCUGCAAUUUCAAUUGCAAAUAAUCCGGUGUUCCAUGGCAAAACAAAACAUUUCAAGCUAAAACUCUAUUUACUAAGAGAGGUACAGAAAGAGGGAGAAAUACAGUUGGUCUACUACAAAACAGAAAGUCAAAAUGUUGAUAUCUUAACCAAACUACUUCUCAAAGCUAGAUAUGAGUUCUUGAGGCAAAGGCUUGGAGUCUGCAGCUCCAGAGACAAGGAGGAGUGUUGAAUGACAUGUCCUAGGAGCUGCUGACAUGGAGCUGAGUAGAAUGAAGUGGAAGUAGUCAAAAUAAGUUAGUCAUGUGGAAAAUUUACCUAUUCCUUAGGAAGUAUUUGUUGGUUUGUUUCUAUUCUUUAGGAAGUAUCUAUAUGUAGCAAGUUUGUUGCUAUUUUUAUGUUUUUCUGUUUUAAGCUAGUUGUAUAAAUAAGUGCUUUGCAGCUUAAUAAAAUAUAACUUCAGAUUCCUCAACGUUUUGUUGCUUCUUGAGAGUUUCUACCCUUUGUUUCUAUCAAAACCUACAGAUAAGGUAUUGGCCCACCAUCACAUGAUAGUUUAAGCUUUGGGUUGAAUUGAUAAUUUAACAAAGAAUGACUAAAAGAUAAAUCAUCAUGAGAUAUUCAAGCCACUUACAUAACCUAAAAGGCUCAUAGCUUGGUCAGAUUGAUAAAAUCCUGUGUUCCUCUUCCCACUGAUGAUCUCAAGUACAAUAACACCAAAGCAAAAAACAUCAGAUUUUACUAAGAAAAACCCAUCUAGCACAUAUUCUGGAGACAUAUAGCCACUGCAUUACAUGGAAUGUUAAAAAGUAAUCAGUUGAUUAGGUAUAUGCCAAGGCAAAUAUCUUUCCCCAUGCAUACAAUACUUACUAAGUGCCCACUACUAUGUUUGUGUUUGCCUCUGUUUGCUUGCUCUCAAAGAUCCUGGCCAAGCCGAAGUCUGAAAUUUUGGGAUUCAUAUCCCCAUCUAGUAGAAUGUUGCUCGUCUUCAAGUCCCUGUGAAUGAUCUUCAACCUUGAAUCUUGGUGAAGAUAAAUUAGCCCUCGAGCAAUUCCCAAAAUGAUGUCGAAGCGACUCUCCCAGUUUAGUAACACGCAUAGCAUUCGAUCUUGCCCAGUUGCCAUUAGAAAGAAAAAUUUUAGUGGCAUGGUUCAUUCAGUUAGAUCCUGUCUAUCAGUUCAUGGCACGUAUGCAAUGAUACAACAAAAGUAGGGACUUGACGUAGGUUUAGAGGCAAACCAAAUAUGAAAGAGUCUAAGCUUUUGUUGGGCAUAUAUUCAUAAAGUAAAAUCUUCUCAUCUCCUUCAAUACAAUAGCCCAGAAGUCUAACCAGAUUUCGAUGCUGAAGUUUGGCAAUCAACACAACCUCAUUCUUAAAUUCCACUAGGCUUUGCCUUGAAGCACUUGAGAGUCUCUUCACAGCUACUUCUUUCCCAUCUGGAAAUUUGCCCUAGAAGCCACAAUGCAUAUGCAUUAGACAUUGAUAAUCAGAAAUCAGUUGAAAAUAUGAGCAUUGUUUGAAAUAAGUUAUAUUACCUUGUAAACCGGCCCAAAGCCCCCUUGUCCAAGCUUAUGCGAAUCUAAAAAGUUAUCCGUAGCAGCCAGGAUGUCUUUUAAGUUGAAAAAUGGUACAUCAAUGCCUUUCUUAUCCUCAUCUUUGAAUUGCUUCAAGUCUAUUAAGUGUUUCACACGACUUUCACUAUCAUACAAGUGUAGCACAGGAUUUGCCCUGUUUCCUAAAUUAAAAAAAAGGAAAAUAUUAUAUAGAAAACCUCUGCAAUUUUCUCAAUUUUGCCAGGUACAAUUUGAAAAGAAAAUAGCGGAAGAUCCAUGGUAGAGCUUAUGGCACAAAGAUUACCUUUCCUUUUGGUGAUGUUUCUUUUGCGCAAAUAAGCAAUAUAACCAAUGGUGCUUAAAAGCGCAACUAGAACAACAACAAUUGUUAUGCCUACCACAACUACCGGAGAUGAUAAUGACGACAUCUUAUUGCCAAGGUCUAAAACAAAGAAGAACCACUCUCAUUCAUGGAAAAGGCAAUGCAUCUGUCAUUACUAACCUCUAUGUCUUUCAUUGGAAAAUAAGUUUAAAUGACCAAAACCAAGCAAAAAGAAAGUAUUGAGUUCAACUUCUCACAUACCUAGAAAGCAAAUUUAGAAAUAUACUAGGUCUGUAGCUCACCUUGUGUAAAAUCUAAACUUGAUCCAUUUCACUUAAAUUUUUCACUACAAAAGCACUUAGUGGUUCCAUUUUGUGUUCUGCAAUUUGAAUUAGGCCAAUCCUUGCAGUCUGCUGAUGAGGUACACACUAGCUCCAAUGGUGGAUCCCAACUGAUCUCUAUCUCAAUGCUAUUUUCCAAUGACUUCUCAGAGCCAAAAUUGUCGAUUUUGACCACUGUGCAGACAUUGGUCAUGUGAAAAGGCAGGUUUAGUGGUGGAAUUUUGUUGAUAAGACUUCGAGAACUGCAAUCUAAUUCUUUAAGUUAGAUUACAAAUGUUAAUGUCUCUAGAUUAAUGCUAGUUACCCGAUAGGUGCCACCAGGUACCUUGAACUGAACCUGGCCCGUGGUAAUGUUACAUUCAAAAUUAAAGUACAUGGGAUCACCACACUUUGAUCCAGUGCUUAGAGGAUAAGGAAUCAUGAUUGAGCCACAAGCUUGACAAUUUCUUACUGUUGAUUCUGCAAAUAAAAUGUAGAAUCCCUUGUUAAAGGGUAUUUCUUCCGAUUAUAGUUUCUUCCUAAUGUCUAUAAAUGGAUUUAUGCUUGUGUUGAUCAGUAAACUAAAACAUGAGGUACUUCUUCUCAAGAAAAGGGGAAAAAGAAAUUGGAAAGGGACAUACCUAUAUCUGAAAUAGAUACACGAACAAAGAGAUUGUCAGCAUCAGAGUCAUACUCCUCCUGAAGACCACUAAGGUCGUCUGUCCAAAUCAAGCAUUCUGGGUUAUUGCCCCUUUAUGUUAUUUAGUUUGAGCAUAAUGUCACGGACUUAGUCGUUCACUAAGCUCUUGUGGCACUUAGGCAAGUCAAGACGCUUGAUCUUGCUAAGUCAGCCUUGCUCCCAAUGCUUAGCUUGCUAGGCUAAGACACUCACGACUCGAAAGCUUAAGAAGCUUAGUAAGCAACUCUUUAAAGGAAGCUCUUAUUAACUCAUGGAAGCCUUUACAAGUGCUUGGAAGCUCACUUGCUUGGUACCUUGGCCAAAUGAGGCCCUCACCUAUUUAUAGGCACCAAUGGAACUCUCUAGAACCUUGGAGGGUUCCUUACAACUUAAGUAUAUUCUAGAAUGUCCUACAUCAUUCUAGGUACAAGCCUAUGUACAAGGAUAUACAAGAGACUUCUAGAAUUCUCUAGAAAGCCCUGGACUCCUCUCAUGCCUUCCACCAUAGUGUAGAAUUGUGUGGAUUCCUCCAGGCUUCUCCACAACCUUCCACACUCUUCCCACUCUAGGAGUCUCCAAAAGCUUCCUGGCUCUAUAUAAGCCCAUGGGGAGGCUCAUUUGAAUCAGCUUGUGACACUCUCCUCCACCUAAGCCGCAGACGUUCUUGUCGCGCCUUCUACCCGGAAUCGCUCAAUUUGCUCCUAUAACUGCCAUAGUGCAUCUGUUGGCUCCCAGCUAGCCUCACUUUUUGGUAGUCCUUUCCAUUUCACUAAGUAUUCCGUACCAGGAGGUACACCUCGUCUCCUGAUGACCCGAUCUACGAGAAAGUGUUCUAUCUCCUUAUCAUAGGAGAUCACGACCGUUGUAGGUGCCCUCUUAGACAACCCUCGGCUUGGAUCAUCUUUGUCUUCGUGAUAGGGUUUCAAGUAGUUUACGUGGAAGACAUGAUGAAUCUUCAACCUUGGCAGUAGCUUAACUCUAUAGGACACCUUGUCGACAUUCCCAAGUACGGGGAAGGGUCCUUCAUACCUCCUCAUAAGGCCCUUAUGCACUAACCUUAAGGAUUUGAAUUGUUGAGAAAUGAGCUUGAAAGCACCAUGUCUCCGACUUUGUACUCCGUGUGUUGUCGCUUCUUGUCAGCCCACUUCUUCAUUUUCUUAGCGGCCUUGUCCAAGUAUGAGCGUGAUAUGUCAGCUUGCUUGUGCCACCCUUUCGCGAACUUGAAAGCUGCUGGACUUCUCCCCGUAUAGCCUAUCGUUAGAGUGUGAGGAGUUAACGGUUGCUGCCUUGUGGCCAACUCGAAUGGGCUCUUAUUGGUUGCCUCACUCCUUUGCAGGUUAUACGAGAAUUGGGCUAUGUCUAGCAACUUAGCCCAAUCCUUCUGGUUGGCACUCAUGAAGUGCCUUAAGUAUAGCUCCAAUAAAGCGUUCACCCUCUCAGUCUGCCCAUCCGUCUGUGGGUGAAAGCUUGUGGAGAAGUGAAGCUCCAAACCCAUAAGCUUGAAGAGCUUCAUCCAAAACUUCCUAGUAAAACGCGAAUUGCAAUCACUUUAGGCAACCCCCAAUACUUGACUACGUGCUUUAGGAAUAGCCUCGUCGUCUCUUCCGCAGUGCGGUCAGUCGGGGCUGCUAUGAAGGUUGCAUACUUAGAGAACCUGUCCACUACCACUAUGAUAGAACCGCUGUCCUCCGACUUGGGUAGCCCGAUGAUGAAGUCCAUGGUGACAUUGUCACAUGGGCGCUCUGCUAUAGGUAGUGGCUUCAACAGGCCUCUAGGUUGUUGUUGUUCCACCUUGUCUUGUUGGCACACAAGACAAGUCCUCACAUAGGCCUCUACCUCAUCCCGUAUUUGAGUCCAGUAAUAAGCCGACUCGAGUAGUGCCCUCGUGCGUCGUUGCCUAGGGUGCCCAGCCCACUUGGUGUCAUGGCACUCAUUUAUCAGAUUCCGUCUUAUGUUCCCCCAUUUAGGCACAUAGAGUCGUCUCCCCUUAGUGUAGAGUAGGUCGUUCUCCACCCAGAACCGCUUAGUCUUCCCUUCAUGAGCUAGGGCGAUGAGGCUCUUAGCCACUGGAUCAUGUUGUAGUCCCUCCCUUAGAAGAUCCAUUAUGUCUCCUUGGGGUUGACUCGUCAUGGAUGCUAGCUCCGUUUUACAGCUUAGGGCGUCAGCCACAUGAUUAGCACUCCCUGGCUUAUACUCCAACGUAUAGUCGAACUCAGCCAGGAAGUCUUGCCACCUAGCUUGCUUAGGACUCAACUUCUUCUGUGUUUGGAAGUAGCUAGUGGCAACGUUAUCGAUCUUCACUAUGAAGUGAGACCCUAGAAGAUAGUGCCUCCAGGUGCGCAAGCAGUGGACGAUGGCGGUCAUCUCUUUUUCUUGCACCGUAUAGCACAUCUCUGUGUCGUUUAGCUUGCGAAUCUCAAAUGCGAUCUGGUGUCUUUCUUGCAUAAGGACUCCCCCAAUAGUGAAGUGUGAGGCAUCUGUGUGUAUCUCAAAAACCUUGGUGUGGUCGGGUAGUGCUAACACCGACUCCUCAGUCACAGCCUUCUUAAGAUCUUUAAAGGCUUGUUGGCACCUUUCGUUCCAUUCUCAUGCCUUAUUCUUCUUAAGGAGAUCAGUGAGAGGAGCGACCCUUGCUAAAUAACCUUUGAUGAAUCGCCGAUAGUAAUUAACUAAACCAAGGAAAUAUCUGAGCUAAGGUACCUUGGUUGGUGGAUCCCAUUCCUGGAUGGCUUUCACCUUGCUAUCAUCCAUCUUCAGCUUGCCAUCCUUGAUGCGAUGCCCUAGGAAGCUCACUUCUUUUUUAACAAAGGAGCAUUUUUCCUUCUUCACGUAUAGCUUGUUCUGCCUUAAGAUCUUAAAGACCUUCCUCAAGUGCUCUACGUGCUUCUUUAGGGUGUUACUGUAGAUGACUAUGUCAUCCAAGUAUACCACCACGAACUUGUUGAUUACUACUCAAAAAGUGCUAUUUGAUAGCUUAUAAUUAAUCCUUUUAAACACUUUUGAGUAGUAAUUUUGGCCUUUUAACUCAAUUGGCAUGUUAAGGACCCUUGAAAGCAAUUUUAAUCAUUUUGUGUAAGUUUUGGUGUUUUUUUGUUAGUAAUUUGAUCACCAAAGCAAUUCAAGAUUGAGGAGAGUUAUGAGAAAUCUUGGGCAAAGCUUGGAAGUCAUUUGCCAAGAGUAAAUCAGGAAUGCAAGGAGAAAAAGUUAAGAGAAUCUGCCAUGAAGCAUAUUCUUGAUGACAGUAGUAGCAGCCACUUUUGGAGCACUUUUUGAAGUCCAAUUGAUGCAUGCUAUAUACCAUUUCAAAGCUUAGGAAGUCAAAAAUCCAAUGCUUUAAACGGUACGCAAUUCGGAGUUGAAACGAAGAAGUUGCAGCCAUUGCAAGCCAAUCACUCCAAGCUGAAUGAAGCAUUUUCCAAAGUGUUGCGAAAUCACCCUUUUGUUGCGAAGUGAUUUCGCAGCCUUUUUGUACAGUAGGGUGUAUUUCCUUCUGAAGUUGCCCGAUAUAUGCCGCAAGCUGGAAGCUGAGAACAUCAAGGUGGAAGCCAACUUCGCAGCCCUGCGAGAAUAGCUUUUUGCUCCGAAGUGAUUUCGCAGCCCUUCUUGAGUGUCUGCGAAAUCUCGCAGACACCAUUUUCUCUUGCGAAAUGGUCCCUGGAGCAUCCCGAUAUUUGCUACCGACAUUGGGAGAUAUUUUACAUCAGAUUUUUGUUGUCUAAAUCCCAAAAUACUCCUUGUAAGCCACCAAUUACAAGAUUCCUUAGCUUUUAAGUUAGUAAAAAGAGAAAAUAUCCAUGUAAUAAUUAGUUUUAUAUUAUGUUCAUAUGAAUACUUCUCGGGAGCCUGUUCUCAAAAAGGGACCCUUUUGUAAAGUUUUGGGAAAGCAAGUAAAGUUCAGGUCCUUUGUUUUGUCUUACCUUCUCACUUUGUAUUAUUUAUUUCUUACUAAGUUAUGCACUCUCUGAGGAAUUUUCCCCAGAGAAUGAGUAACUAAACCUCUAGUUCCUUGGAGCUAAGGUUGCCGGGGAAGGUUCCAAAUGCAAGAAUGCAAAGCUUUGUGGUUUCAGCCAUCAAUUAAGAGGAAGUGAAGUUUUUUAGUGAUUUCUAUGUUUUUAGUUAACUUAAAACACCUUAGAGUCACCUGGGCCAACACUUGGUAAGGCAAGUGAUCUCCAUCCAUGGAGAUGCACUAGUUUACCCCUUGCGAGCCUCUGGGAGAUGACUUUAAGGUAGGAUUUUCUGGAAUUGCCAACACUUGGUAAGCUUUUGGACUCCAAGGAGACAUCCAUUAGUUAUCUCUUGCGAGCUAGAGAAGGGAAGUCCAAGGUUAAAGAUCACCUUGAAUGGUUAAGGCUUAGUGAGAGGCUUAAACCAUUGCAAGUUGCAUCAAUGAGAGAAUUAAAGUUGAAAUCUAAUUAAAGGAUGUAUCUGUACAACACCGGUUAGAGAAUUGACUAUAUGUUGAAUCUCUAAUGCGAGGAAAUGAACCAUCUGACCGGAGCUAUGUCUUUUGCAUGAGGAACCACCCCAGUGAACCUAACUCUCCAAGGAAUGUUUUUCUUCCUAAGUUAUUCUCACUACUUAUUCUGUUAGUUAGUUUAAAUCUAAAUCUUUACCAAUCAAAAGGUUGUGUUUUAUUUUUUUAGCUAACCUUGAAAUGAAACAAGACCAAUUCACUUUGAAUUGGUAUCAUUGAUAGCUUGCUAAUCCUUCCCAGUGAACGAUCCUAGAGCCGCUAUAUUAUAGUAGCUUUUUCUUUGCUACCCUAGUAUAUGGUGUAAUAGGUUAUAAAUUUUGUUGAUUACUCCCUCAAUCAAGGAGCACCAGCUGGACACGAAUCAGCUGAGACACCAAUUGGGCACAAAUCACUUGUCUAAGCAUGGGUGGAAGAUCUUGUUCAUGAGGGUGCAGAACGUUGCUGGGGCAUUGGUGAGUCCGAAAGGCAUCACUAAGAAUUCGUAUGAGCCAUACCUGAUCACACAUGUGGUCUUUGGCUCGUCCCCCUCUGCAAUCCUUACUUGGUAGUAGCCCGACCUUAGGUCUAGCUUCGUGAAGUACCUUACCCUUCCAAGUUGAUCGAAUAAGUCAGCAAUGAGCGGGAUAGGAUACUUGUUCUUUACCGUCACCUUGUUGAGUGCCCGAUAGUCUAUGCACAUUCGUAGGGACCCAUCAUGCUUCUUCUGAAAUAGAACCGGCGCGCCAUAGGAAGCCUUGGAUGGUUGGAUGAACCCCUCAUCUAGUAACUCCUUAAGUUGUCUCCUUAGCUCCUCCAACUCCGGUGGUGCCAUUCUAUAUGGCCCAUAGUAGGGGGCUUAGCUCCCGACUCCAACUCAAUCCUGUGAUCUUCCUCUCUCCUAUGAGGAAGUCUCUUAGGCAACUCGGGCGACAUCACGUCCUUGAACUCAUCAAGGACCCCCUCGAUUUCCUUAGGCAUGGGUUCUCCCGACCCAUCGUCUCUUUCUUCCUUCAGGGUGGCGAGGUAGGUCACCUCUUUCCUCUUUAACCCCUUCCUAACUUGCAUAGCUGAUAGCAUAGGGGUCUUAAGCGUACCUUCAGUGACCGUAGGGACCAUGCAUGGCUUCUCCUCCUCUAAGAUAGCCAUUGAGCAUAGGAAAGGUAGUGGCACGACCUUGACCUUCUGUAGGAAGUCCAUUCCUAGCACCAUCUUGAAGUUAUCCAUGGGUGCCACUAUGAAAUCGACCCUUCCUUCCCAUGAGCCGAUGUGCAUAGUCACCCUACAAGCUACUCCAUGUGACGGGCUUGGCAGCUGAAUUAACUGCCUUGAGUCAUCCUCCUUCCUUAGAUGCUUGGAGCUUUAGUCUCUUUGCCUCAUCCUCCGAGACAAAGUUAUGAGUGGCACCAGUGUUCACCAAGGCCUUGGUGGCCUUCCCAUUCACAAGGGCCUCUACAUACAUUAGCCCUUUGCUUUGAGGCGUCUUAGGCAUCGGCUUGGCCUUAAGGGCAUUUAGGAGUUGCAACGAUCCCACUUUAGCAUCGCCUUCCUGCUCAUUUUCCUCAAUCAUAGCAUUUAGAGCUUUCCUCUUAGGGCAGUCUCAUGCCCAGUGUGUACCAUCGCACAGGAAGCAAUUGGUCCUGGGCAUGAACUCCUUCCACUUAUCUUUGCCUUUACCAUCCUUGCCACUAGGGCCUUUGCUUGAUCCUUCCUUAGAAGUGUGGCAUCGUGAUCCAUUGUCUCCCCCACCUUUGGCCUGGUUACCCUUGGAUGGUGGUUUUGGCUUGGAGGAGUCUCCCCUUCUAUAAUCUACCAAGGACUCUGCUACCGCCAUGGUCAUGGCUAGGUCUUAGACACCAUGUCUCCUCAACUCUUGCUCGACCCAACUUUGCAAGUUGUCCAUAAAGUUAAAUAGUAGCUCCUCCUCAACCAUGUUAGGUAUCUCAAGCAUAAACGUAGAGAACUCCUUGACAUAAUCACGGAUCGAGCCUGUGUGCUUGAGACGCUUCAUACUCUUCCUUGCUAGGUAAGCCACAUCUUCGGGAUAGAAUUGUCUUUUGAUUUCUCUCUUAAAGGCAUCCCAUGUGUCUAUGGUGCACGUCUCUUUCUCUAUGUCGGAAAACUGUCGACGCCACCAUAGAGUAGCAUUAUCGGUGAGGUAAAGGGUCGCGGUGCAUACCUUAGUGGCUUCAUCCGUCAAUGCAAUGGCCUCAAAGUAACGCUCCAUGUGCCACAAGAAGUUAUCUAGCUCCUUAGCAUCCCUCUUGCCAUUGAACGAGUGUGGCUUGGGCACCUCCACCCUUGGUGCCUCAUGAGUGGCCAUGACUCAUGCUGAUAUCGCAGUCUUGUAGAUGGCUAGCUCUUGAUGAAUCUCUUGGUCUCGGGUCUCCAUGAGCGCAGCCAAGGCCUCCAUCCUUGACUCCACACUAGCGAACAUGAUCAUGACCUUGUCUUGGAAGGACAUGAACUCCUCGUGUGACACGGUUGAACUUGUGAGCCUAGCACCCCCUCGCGAAGGUCUUGGAUCUGCUCCCUUAGAUCCUCUAAGCCUUUCUCCAUGCCUUGCUCGAUCAAGUCCACCCCUUCCCGGGUGUCCGUCAUGGCUAGCUCCACCUUAGCUAGCCUUGCCUCCAUGUUGGCUAAGGCAUCACGAGACUUAUCCUUCCUGCCUCGGCCCCGUGCAGUAUGCUCCAUCUCCCUUCCAUGGGUUUGCUCGCUAGUCUCCUCCACGUUAGAGCCCGACAUGCUUCCUUUGCUAUGCCCACUUCGUAACCGCCCUCUAAUACCACUUGUCACAGACUUAGUUGUUCACUAAGCUCGUGCAGCACUUAGGCAAGUCAAGACGCUUGAUCUUGCUAAGUCAACCUUGCUCCCAAUGCUUAGCUUGCUAGGCUAAGAUGUUCACGACUCGAAAGCUUAAAAAGCUUAGUAGGCAACUCUUUAAAGAAUGGAAGCUCUUAUUAACUCAUGGAAGCCUUUACAAAUGCUUGGAAGCUCACUUGCUUGGUGCCUUGGCCAAAUGAGGCCCUCACCUAUUUAUAGGCACCAAUGGAACUCUCUGCAACCUUGGAGGGUUCCUUACAACUCAAGUAUAUUCUAGAAAGUCCUACAUCAUUCUAGGUACAAGCCUAUGUACAACGAUAUACAAGAGACUUCUGGAAUUCUCUAGAAAGCCUUGGACUCCUCUCAUGCCUUCCACCAUAGUGUAGAAUUGUGUGGAUUCCUCCAAGCUUCUCCACAACCUUCCACACUCUUCCCACUCUAGGAGUCUCCAUAAGCUUCCUAGCUCUAUGUAAGCCCAUGGGGAGGCUCAUUUGAAUCAGCUUGUGACAAUAAGCUUGACAUUGGCAGUCACUAAGGCAAGCCUUUUUGCAAUAUUGAUUAUCAUUCGUAUCUACUAAAAUAGAAGACUACGGUUUUUUGGCUUUCAUCAUUUUUAAGCGCAAGAACAUGUCUUCAAUGGAAUUCUUCUUGUAUUUGGGUGACUUUCUGGUACACCCACUUGAGAACUCUCCAAUUUUCCAACUAUUCGGCGAGAUUGGUUUGAACCCAGGCAAACAUUUUCACAUCAAAGCAUUCUUAGUGCUACAACUUCCAAAUUUCCCACAAGUAAUUGACACACUGCAUCGGUCUUUCGGUGCCCACCAGACUGGAGACGAUGUAUUCCAAUUCGCAUAGUAUUGAAUUUCCCCUAAAGAACUCAUUACCAACUGUUUUUCAACUGAUGAGUUGGGGAUAGAGCUAUGCCCUUUAUACACGUUCCUCUAGGAGAUUUUGGACAACAAGCUGCGUGUUGCUUCAGGCAUCUCAUCAAACGUUCCAUCCCAGUCCUCACUGUACCAAUGUACAUAUAAAAUUUGAGAUAUGAUAUACUGGUACUCUUUUUCUUGAUCUAGCUUGAAGGUAUAGUUUCCAGGUGUGGCGUCAAUGGGGCUUAACCAUGAGGUCAAUAUUAAGCUUUCAUUCAUCUUCAUACCAGGAAGAAAAAUAUCAGUGGGAUUACGGAAGCUCUCCCAAAUAAUCUCUUCAGAUCUAUUGCCACUCAAAACAAGGUUCCCAUAGUCCAUAAGCUUCACCAUCCUGUCUUUAGAUGAAGGUGUUUCAAUAUCAGUAGACCAGUGAACUGCUCCAUUAAUUUCGGCCAACACCUUCAGCUUACCAUCUUUUUUAAUGGCAAAAACUCCAAUGGAGGUACCAGAAAAGGGGUUCUCUCGGUUGGCUACCCACACAACUCUUGGUGGUUUAGACAUGUGAUGCCAUAUGCCCAUGAAUCUUCUAUUCUUGGAGCUUCCAUUUGGAUGAAAGAAGCCUAGUUCAAAAGUUUCACCGGAAGAGACAAGAGUUUCUCCAUUAGUAAGCCAAGUGUCUAGUGUGAUGGUGUGUCACGCCCCAAGACCCACUCCAAGGGCGUGACGGUCAUUUCACACCUCAAACCCGAAGGCUUAAAGUAUAAUCUGACCCAAACAGUCAUAUUGUAACUGGAUGUUACCAAUUACCAAAUACCUGCUCAGAGUAGCGGAAACAAAGUCUAAAAUCCUCAAAAUUCAAUUUCCAAAUAACUUCCAAAUACAAAAUGAUCCAAAAUAACAUAACUAAUAGUUAAACAAAAUCCAACAUAAAAUCCUAAGUCAAAUCCUAAUGAUGACCAUUCCUCAGCCUAGCCAUCACUCCUCACCCGAACUAAGAGUACCUGAAAAAUUUUCAACAAUUGGGAAUGAGCUCACAGCCCAAUAAGGAAUAUUAAUGCAGUUCAUGGAUCAAAUAUUUUCAUUUCAAAUAGGAGAUAUCAAAUUUUAUUUUAUUUUUUCAUCAAAUAUCAGAGUUUCAAAAAUGCCAAUAUAUUCAAAAUUCAACCAACCAAUUUCAUAUCAAAUUCAAACACUUUCCCAUCAAACUCAAUCAAAUCCAUUCAAUUUUUCAUUACUCUGGUUAUCAAAUAUCAAAUGCCCAGUUAGGUGGGACUUUUCAAAUGGGUGGCUGGCCUCAAAUUGUUCUUGGUGGACGGAACCAAACACUACUAGUACUAGUAACCUCUAACCAAACCCCUAGAGGUUGGGGUCCAAAUCAAUUACAUUCCCACCAUGAAAUGUAAAGGUCAACUAUUAUAUCCCGUUGACAGGGCCGAAUAGUCAACUAUUAUAUCCCGUUGACAAGGGCCAAAUAAACCAGAGUGAUGUUUUUUGUUCAAGUAUUCAAAUUUACACAACAUAAUAUCUCCAUAUUUUGUGUCAUAAAUAAAACAAAAUAUUCCAACAUAACAUUUAAUGCAAAACAAUUUGAUCCAUGCAUGGUAACAAAAUAUCAUUUUAUUUUCCACAAUUCAAAAUAACAUAUAAAAUAAUUUAAUUUUAUAAAUAUUACAUUAACUUCCCUUACCUCAAAAGAAGUCCUUGAAAGCUUGGGAGAAGAAUGAUUCUGAAAAAAAAUAUAAUCUACUCUUCACCUAAUAUAACAUAAGAGAAACAAUUAUUACUAUUUAUUUAUAAUUUAACUAAUCUAUUCCUUAUUUAAAUAAAACUAAUAAAUUCCCAAUUUGUUUCUAAUAACACAUUACUAAUUUAAUUAAAUUACAAUUUUAUGUCAUUAUAAAAUUCUAUAUAUAUAUAUAUAUUUUGCUAAAUCUAUUAUUACUAUUAUCUUAUUCAUUAAUCUAAAACUAAAUAUUAUUAUUUUAAUUAACCAAUUCAAAAGCCACUAGAUGUCUCGAGUACACCAAACCAAAAAGCAAGUUUUUUUUUUUUUUCCAUUACAUCAUCAUUCAUUAUAUAUAUAUAUAUAUAUAUAUAAAAGGCUUCCUUCCAUUUGGCACAUGCCUAUUUUUUUUUUUUUUCCUCCUUGCUUCUAGUAGCACAGUACACGUACGCCCCCCAUAUAUUUUUCUUUUUUUCUUCCUUCCUUCCUUCCAGUGCUGUGCACACGCGUUCUCCCUCUUUUUUUUUUUUUUUUUUUAAUUAACCCUAACCUAAAAUCGAAAUAUUCCAAGGAAUUUUAUUUUUUCUAAUAAAACUUAAGAUCUCCCAAAUUCCAAUGCUAAAAUCAAAAUAUUAAAUUUUCACUAUUUGAUAUUAAAACGAAUUAAAAAAUAAUCUAACCCUAAUCUAGAUUUGGGGUUUUCCAAAAAAAUAUAUCUAAUGUGUUUGAAAUUAAUCAAUGAAUCUAAAAUAUUAAACUAGGGGUUAGAAUCUUACCUAUAGAGAUCUGUUCUUCAACCCUGAAAUCUGACUCCAACCUUACGUUCUCUGGAAUUCUGCGAACAGGAACUAUAUUCAGAAAAGAAGGGAAAGAAUAAAAUUUCUAAUUUAUACCUAGGGUAUUUAUUCGUAAAAUUACUCUUUUACCCCUCUUCUUUUUUUUAUUAAAUUAAUUAAUUAACUAAUUUAAUUAUUAAUAAUAAUUUCCUAAAUUACCCUUAAAAGAAAAUGCUUGGGCGUUACAUGGUGUCUCUAGUAGAGCAACACAGAAAAUAACACAAUAAGAAAAAGAUGGUAGAUAACAUUGUGAAUUGCAGAGACUGAAACCCUGAAUUUUCUUGUCUUUUGCCUAUUGUUUUUGUUAAUCCGAGAAUCUCUUUAGUUUUGGUGCCACAAAUUCACUAUGGGAUAGCGUGCUACUUCUCUAGGUUGACCUUCUAUAUGUGGUGCCUAAAACAUUGGCCCCUUAGAUUAACUUUUUAAUUGUCUUAAACCAUUUUUACCGCAGGUCCAUACUCCGGGACAAGCCCCCACACCCCCAUCGGAUCAGUGGUGAUAGGCCCAAUCCCCCUGUUAGACCCUAAAAAAAAUCUCAUAGUUUUUUUUUCACCAUAUAUAUUGUAUUGCGAAAUUUUCAAGUCUGACAAAAUAAAAUUCGAGUCACGAAUCUUUAAUAGUUCUCAUCAAGAAAUGAGAUGGAAAUGUUUCAGCUAGUGAAAAUCUACAUCAAGAGGCUUUUUGGGAAGACAAAUAUAAAAAUACAUCUAAACAUCAUUAAACUUCAUGAUUCUAAUACACAUCAUGGGAUGAAUUCUCAAUCAUAUAUAGGUGAGUAUCACAUAUAUAUAUAUAUAUAUAUAUAUAUAUAUAUAUAUAUAUAUAUAUAUAUAUAUAUAGGUUUAACACACAAUGCUACAUAAUGUGGUGGAUAAAUAUGCAUGUCAAAUUGAUCAUAGUUGUAAAAUUGUUAGCUAGAAACUAAAAAUUUCUAAUCUGAUUCCUAAGUGCUUCUUUUUUUUUCUUUUUCUUUUUUUUAAAAAAAAACAAAAAAUGAUAAUAAUUUCUACAUAAAAUGUAAAAAUUAUCGUAAAAAAUUAAUAACAUUCAAUUUAGAAAAUUUUAAGAUAUUAUAUAAAACAAAUUCACCAUCUUAACAUUUAAAAGUAAUUUUUAAAGAUAUAAGAUAAGUUCAUAUUAUUUAUAUAAAAACUAUUUUAUAAUUUACAUAGAAAUUAUAUAUAUAUAUAUAUAUAUAUAUAUAUAUAUAUUGAAUUGGGUUAUUUCACAAUAUUGGAGCAUAGUUUACCUUAGGUGAUUAAAGAUGUGAUACAGUAUAGUUUUUAGGAUAGAUGUGAUAAUUUAUAAUUGAAGUUUUGAUAUGGGCUAAUUAGUAAUAUUAAACAAAGGAUAAUGUUUUUUCAUAUUCUUAGAUUUAAUUUUUGGUGAAAAUAAUUAAGAGUAAGUAUUUGAUAGUGAUUUUAAGAAAUGUUUUUAGUCUUUUUAAUACUUGAAAAAGAAAAUUUUUCAAGUGUUAGAAAAACCAAAAAUACCUUUUAGAAACAGUACUAAACAUAUUCUAAAUAUGUACUCAAUAAUCGAUUUAAUAAAUUCACGGGUGUCAAAAUAAAUAUGACAUCAAGAUAUGUUAAUAAAUUUUUUUUUUUUUUUGAAAAAUAAUUCAACAUAUUUAUUGAAUUCACAUUCAAGACAAGGUCGCCUGUAACAUAGGUGCAUGGCUGUCCAUUUAUUCCCAAUUGCCUUAGACAAACAUCCCCUUACUCUUAAGUCAUUUUGCUUUUUUUUUUUUGUGAUUGCAUGUUGAAAAUUUGAUUUUAACAUGAGUCCACUAGGAGUUCAGGACAUCUAUUAAUUAAUGGGGGCAGUUCUCGACCUCCAUGGCCUGCCUACUAAUUUUGGUGGGUUGCUCACAGGUGACGUCUGACUUAAAAUACGUCCAUCGCCCAACUUACUAUUCAUGGACAAACAAAAUAUUAGUAAUGUACCAAUCAUCUUGUAUAUGUAGUAACAUUUUCAAAUUUUUAAUCUAAACCUUGGUGUAAAUAAUUAAAUUUAAAUAAAUUAAUUAAAAUGUAUAUUUAAUUUUUUUUUCACCCGCAAUUGAAGGCCGGUGGAGUGGUGAAAUCUUGGAAAUGGAAGCCAACCAUGCAGCAAAUAAAGUGACCCAAAGUCCAAGACCACGUUUAGAGCAUUUGUCCAUUUUUACUUGUUUUCAACGGCUUCUAGUCUUGAAGUUGAAAUCUGCGGUUUCAUAAACGGUAUUCUGAAUUUUCUCUCUUGCGUUCUGUUUUUCACAUUUUCCAGGAAAUGGGACCUAUUUGUUUGGCUAUCAACAAUGAGUUUCGUGUCAGAAUCUGUAAAAGAACUAGAACUUGCAGAGAAAAAAUAAAUAAUUUGAGAGUUACGAAUUGAAGGAAGGCACACAUCUAUUUCACAAAUGAGAAUGCCUAUUUAUAGGCUUACAACCAAACGAAAAUUGCAAAAAAAAUCUUAGCUAUUUUCAAAUUUUAUUGGCAUUACUUCUAUUAACUGAAAAUAGAAAAUUAUGGAGUAAGAAUCUGAUAUGAAACAAUAACAAAGACUAAGUCUAACUAAGACUUUUUCAAACUUCAAAGGCAAACUCUCAUGAGUUCUAACACUCCUCCUUGAGAUUUGCCUUGGACAUGCCAAGCUUCAACCUUAGAAACUCCAGCCUUGAUUUAGGAAGUGCCUUAGUCAUUAUGUCAGCAAGUUGCACAUCAGUUGAGCAAUAAUGCAACUUGACAAGUGAAUUCUUUUUAGCUUCCCUUAUAGAAUGAAAUUUUACAUUUAUGUGUUUGGUCUUGCCAUAUUAGACAGAAUUUUGAGCAAUGGCAAUGGUUGACUUGUUGUCACAGUAAAGCUCUGUUGGUGAGCUUUAUUCCUAGCCUAGAUCAGCAAGCAAUUUCCUUAACCAUAUCCCUUGAUUUGCAACAGCUGCUAAGGAGAUAUACUCAGCUUCUGCAGUUGAUUGUGCCACUACUUCUUGUUUUCUUAAAUUCCAGCAAAUGACACCUGAACCGAUUGUAAAUACAUAACCUGAAAUGUUCUUCAUGUCAUCAACACUUCCUGCCCAAUCACUAUCAACAUAGCCAUCUAGCUUAACUCCUCCUGUCUUUAAAUACCAAAUGCCAAGAUUUGUUGUACCUCUAACAUACUUCAGCACCCUUUUUGCAACUCCCAUGUGAACAUUGCUAGGUGAACUCAUGAAUCUUGAAAGUAAACCAGCUAGAAACAUCAAGUCAGGUCUGGUUGCUAUCAAGUAUAGUAGGUUGCCUACCAAGCUUCUAUAUGCAGAGGGUUCCUUAAGUUUCUCACCAUCAUUCUUUGAAAUUUUCUCAUUUUGUGCCAUUCCAAGGAAGUAGUUCAUGAUGCCAAGGUCAGACAUCUCAAAUACAUCUUGCAUUUCCAUUUUGAACUCAGCCAGCAAUCGUACAUUACUUCCAGUCACUAGCAUGGCAUCAACAUAAAGUGACACUACCAAUUGCAAACCAUUCUCAUUUUGUUUCAAAUACAAAGUAGCUUCAUUUUCACUCCUCCUAAAUCUAAGUUGGAUCAGGUGAGAGUCAAUUCUGAUAUACCAGGCCCUUGGUGCUUGUUCCAAACCAUAAAGAGCCUUUUGCAACUUGUACACUUUGUGUUCAUGCCUAGUAACCUCAAAGCCUUCUGGUUGUUGAACAUAAAUUUCUUCAAGAAGUAUGUCAUUUAGAAAAGCUAACUUGACAUCUAAAUGGUACANNNNNNNNNNNNNNNNNNNNNNNNNNNNNNNNNNNNNNNNNNNNNNNNNNNNNNNNNNNNNNNNNNNNNNNNNNNNNNNNNNNNNNNNNNNNNNNNNNNNAGCCUUGUGCUUGAAGAUUAAACCAUCUGAAUUGAAUUUGGUUCUGAAAACCCAUUUUACACCAAUUGUCUUCUUAGCUUCAAGUAAUUCUGUCAACUUCCAAGUUCUAUUUCUUUCAAUAACAUCAAUUUCAGCUUUCAUAACCUCAAUCCAUUCUAGAAAUCUUGCAACUUCUAUGUAACAUGUAUGCUCAACAUGUACAAGAUUGCACCUCUCAUACACAUUAGAUAAUGGCCUUACCUUAAGCACUGGUAUGUCUAAAGUUGCUUCAACAUCAAGUGGAUCUUCUGCUGGUUCAAGAAUAGAUGGAGUGGUUUGAUCACAUUUAUGGACUUUCUUCAAGUCCCAAUUCCAGUAGGAAUUUUCAUCAAAGUGCACAUCUCUACUUAUCACAAUUUUCAUUCUACUCAAGCUAUAAAUUCUGUAACCUUUUGAUUCUGCUGCAUACCCAACAAAAACACCCUUCUCAGCUCUUUCAUCAAGCUUACCUCUCUUGAUAGAUGGCACAUGAAGGUAACACAAUGAAUUAAACACUUUUAGGUGCUUGACAGAUGGUUUUACACUAGACCAUGCCUAUAUUGGUGUUUUGCUCUUAACAGACUUAGUCGGUAGUCUGUUAAGCAAAUAUACUGAGGUGCUAACUACUUCAGCCCAUAGAAGCUUUGGUAGCUUCUUCUCGAGUAGCAUGCACCUCGCCAUCUCCAUUACCGUUCUGUUCUUCCUCUCAGAGACUCCAUUCUACUGCGAUGAGUAUGGAGCUGUCAGUUGGUGUACAAUUCCAACUUCUAGACAAAAAACAUUGAACUCUUUUGAGGUAUAUUCACCUCCAUUAUCAGUUCUGAGCACCUUAACCUUUUGGCCACUUUGAGUUUCAACCAUUUUCUUGAAGCUUUUGAACACAGAGAGCACUUGUGAUUUGGUUUUUAGAAAAUAAACCCAAGUCAUUCUAUUGAAAUCAUCAAUAAAUAGUGCAAAAUAAACAUUGUUGCUCAAUGAGGCUAUGCUCAUUGGUCCACAAAUAUCUGAAUGAACUAAUUCCAUCUUGUGAGUAGCUCUCUUGGACAUAUUUUGAGGAAAUGAUUUGCGAUGCUGCUUCCCUAGCUCACAACUUUCACAAGUUUGAUCAUUAACUGUGAUUUCAGGCAUGUCUUCAACCAUACUUCUUGCAUGAACUUCAAUGACUUCAAGUUGAAAUGACCAUAUCUUUUGUGCCAAACAGCAUUCUCAUCAAUCUUGGCACUAAAGACAUGACCUUCAACUAAAUCAAGCUUCAAAUAAAAGUUAUUUCCAUUCAUUUUAAUUUUUGCUAUCUCUGUUCCAUGUACAUCAGUGAUAAAACAAAAAUUUUCUUUAAAAGAGACUGCAUAUCCAUUUCUUAGCAUUUGUGUAACACUAAGAAUAUUUUGAUCUAGUUUUGGAAUGUAAAGAACAUUAGUGACAAUUUUUGUACCUCUCUUGGUGCUGAUAGCAAUUGUCCAUUUUCCUUUGGCCUGCACAACUUCACCAUUUCCCAACUUGACCGUUGCUUGAAUUGAUUUAUCAAUGGAGGUAAAAAUUGAUAGAUGUUUGGUCAUGUGACUGGUGCAGCCAUUGUCAAUGAGCCAAGUAUUCAGUUCAUGAGAACUGAGUACUUGUGAUGCCAUAAAUAAAUGCUUAUCAUCUUUUUUGUCUUCUUCAAUCACAUUUGCAUGUUGUUGUGUUUGCUGUUGAGAUUGUUUUUUCUUGGCUCUACAAUACUUCUCACUGUGGCCACAUUUAUUACAGAAAUUACAAUUAAAAAGGGAUUUACCUUUGUACCAACAAUCUUUCUCAACAUGGUUGGUUCUGCUGCAAUNNNNNNNNNNNNNNNNNNNNNNNNNNNNNNNNNNNNNNNNNNNNNNNNNNNNNNNNNNNNNNNNNNNNNNUCAAAAAGCACCUUCAGUAGCUUCAACACCUUUCAUUAAGACCCUUUGCUCCUGCGCAUGAAGCUUGCUGGUUAAUUCUGCAAUUGUGAGACUUUGCAAGUCACAAGACUCUUCAAUUGUAGAGAUCUUGGCUUCAAACUUUUAAGGCACUGAAACCAUGAUCUUUUCUACCACCUUUUGAUCUGUAAAUGCCUCACCAAGAAGCCUCAUUUGGUUUACAACAUCCAUUAACUUGCUAGAAUAAUCUUUCACAGAUUCAUUGUCUUUCAUCUUCAUCAAUUCAAACUCUCUCUUCAAUGUGAGGAGCCUGACAUUUUUUACUGUCACUACCAUCAAAUUCACCUUGGAGUUUGUCUCAUACCAGUUUAGGUGUUUCCAAGUCCAUGAUUUUGGUGAAGAUGUGGUCUACAAGUCCUGAAUGUAGGCAGGUGAUGGCUUUGUCUUUCUUAAGUUUUUCCUCCUCAUAUGCUUUCAUCUGAGCAACUGUAGGAUUUGCUCCCAAUGGUGGUGGAUCAGCUUCAAACAUCACAACAUUCCACAAACCUUGAGACCUUAAGUAAAACCUCAUCUUGUCAACCCAAAUGUGAUAGUGUUCACCAUUAAACACUGGAAUAACAGAGGAAGUACUGCUGGAAGUAGACAUGUUUGCACCACAACUGCCUGAAAAAAAAUAAAUCACUCAACCUCACUGUGUUUAGCACUCAAAACACUCAAAGAAACUUUGCCUCACAACUCGUAGGAACAAGGCUCUGAUACCACUGUCAGAAUCUGUAAAAUAACUAGAAUUUGCAGAGAAAAAAUAAAUAAUUUGAGAGUUAAGAAUUGAAGGAAGGCACACAUCUAUUUCACAAAUGAGAAUGCCUAUUUAUAGGCUUACAACCAGACAGAAAUUGCAAAAAAAUCUCAGCUACUUUCACAUUUUAUUGGCACUACUUCUACUAACUGAAAACAGAAAAUUAUGGAGCAAGAAUUUGAAACAAUAACAAAGACUAAGUCUAACUAAGACUUUUUCAAACUUUAGAGGCAAAUUCUCAUGAGUUCUAACAUGGCAUAUGGGUUUUGGGUUUUUCAAUUGAGGGAAGCCUAUCAUAGCAUUUAAAAAUGGAUCCCCAUAGUGGCCAACACCAUAGGAUGAUAAUUCAUCAUGGUUCUUAAUCAUGAUCUUUAUUAAAUAGAUCAAACCCAAGUACGAUACAGAUAAUAAUCGGAUUAGAAAAACAUAAAUUCAUCUAAUUAUUUAAUAAACAAUAAGUCGUAUAAUUCAUUUAAUUAAUCUAAUAAUCAUACAGAAUUAGGUCUUAUACAAAUCUACACGAUUAAUUUCUUAAUCUAAUAUGUUUAUAAUUCAAUUAAUUUAUUUAUUUAAAAUCAAUUUUUAAAUAAAUCAAAUAUAAGUUAAAUGAGUUAGGGUUAAUCAUAUUAAUCAGUAUGAUUAUCAAGUUGGUCAAUUAGGAUCAAAAUUGUGUUUGACUAAUUUAUUUAAAAAUAACUUAUUUAUUAAAUGAGUUAUACAUAUUAACAUAAAUUUAAUCCUUAAACCCACAAAAAAUAAAUUGAAUUUGAGUCAUGUUAACGAAAUAUAUUACACUUUUGACACUCGUAGUCUACGUAAAGAAAAGAUGUUGCAUCUUGCCAUUAGCUAAGCUUAGAGCAUCCAACAACUGACUAUAAGGGUCCAUAUCUUAGGCUAAAUUGAAUGAAAGCAUUAUAUUAUACAAAACCCCCUAUGCUGAUGAUGGUGCAAACACCAAAUUUGAUUUCCCAAAGUUGUAUAAUAAUGUAUUAGUUGUGUCUGUUGUGCGGAAGUUAGGUACAACUUAGUGACAAGUGUGUAUGGGGCUUGGAAUCUAGUGAGAAUCCAUUGGAUAGGAGUACAAAAUGUCGGCCAUGAGCAUGAUCUAGCCAUCCACAUUUCUCUGUGUCAGAGGGGUCAGGACCAUGGAAGAAAAUAUCAAAAUGAUAUAGUAUUGGAGGUUAUAAAAACGAUAUUUGAUGAAAAAAAUAUUAUUCUGACAAAAUUAUUUUAAGGAGUAUCGAUAUAUUUGUGAUUACUGAUAUUUUCAUCUUUGGUCAAAUUAGUUUUUGAAUUCACCCAUGCAUGACAUUUGAGAUUCAGCUUAAAAGUUGGAUCAACCCACCUGAUCACCUAAGCUUAUAGAAUAGUUACAAUGAAAAAAAUAUAGUUAUAUGACAUGGAAACACUUGAGUCUUCAUUGAUUUCCUUUUCAGAUUGAAAACUAUUAGAAAAAUUGAUUCAAUUGUCAUGAAAUUGGUAUCCACAAAACCAAAGAAACACCCUAAAACUAGUCCAAAAUCUUAUCUAACCCACAUAAAUUACAGAAAAUUAUCUUAACAGCAACCAAAUUCCUAAGUCUUUGCACAAAAUCCUAUCCAAGAGAGAUCUUUUAGAUUUCUUAUCCACUCUGGAUUGACUGGUAGAGACUUUUAAACCAAGGUUGUGCCACAAGCUCAUGAACAAAUAAAAUUGGACAAAGAAUUGAAUGAGUGGAUAAACAUCAUUGUCAAUGUUUCUACUUGAGCGAGAAAUACGUUAGAUUUCUACACUUCUAAAUAGUUGCCUUGAGUGAUUCCUUGGUCCCACAGUAUUUGCUUCCCCCUUUCCUCGUGGUUUGGGAAAAGGACAUCCACACGGUUUGGUGUAGGAACCACCCUUUCCUUUGCUAUCCAUGAUUAUUUUUCUUCCCAAUAAUAAGGAAAACAUUCAUCAAGGCCCCAUGUGAAAACUAUUAUUGGUGACUGUAGGAAUAGAGCUAUUCAAUUUUUCCAAUAUACAGGACAUUGGAUGGAUACUGAUAACAAAAAAGAAUUACAUUAAAAUGUAUAAGCGAUGUAUUAUAAUUCAUUUUCUCAUCUAUUUUCAUGUUUUGAUUAUUUUAACGAGAUGGGAUGAAAUUAAAUAUGAUUUUAACAGAAGUGAAACUUGUCUCGUAAAUAGGAUUCCAUGUUGAUUUCAACAGAAGUACGUGGAAGGAUAUCGUAGUUAAUUUAUUUAUUUUUUCAUUUUCAUUUCUAUUAUUUUUAAAUAUUGAAAUAACAACAAAUACUCAUUUCAAAUUUAUAUUCCUAGAUGCAUACAAAUAUAAGAACUGAAGCACCAAAUUCACUCCUAUUCUAAGAGGAAUAAGAACAUUGAUUUUCAUUCCCUACAAUCAAGUACCGAACAUGGCCUAAAACGUAAGGGUUCAUGGGAGAUCCUUCUCGCCUAUCGACCUUCUUCUAUGGUGGCUAGGAACUCACUAUUCAAGGAUGCUUCUGGUUUGCUUGAAGAAGAAGCUGAGCUGGAAAGGUCUCUCCUUACGACAAAAGCUGGUUGUUUAGGAACUGGGAGUGUGGCAGUGUCACUGCUGAGCAUUACAACUGCAACUGCCAUGGUGGGACGGUCACUUGGGUCUUCUUGCACACACAACAGCCCAACAUUCACGCACCUCAGAAAUUCAUUUGUUUUACAUGUUUCACUUAGUGUCUGGUCCAUCAACUCCAACACCCUGUCUUCCUUCCACAGCUUCCAUGCCUGGGAAAGUUUGGACGUACAAGGGUUUCAUGGCAUAUAUAUAGAAUGUCCAAAGGAUCAAUGCAAAUGAGAAAUUCAAAGCACUUACAUGGGCUAGAAGGCUCAGAUUCCGGUCAGACUGAUAAGAUCUGGUGUUCCUCUUCCCGCUGAUGAUCUCAAGUACCACAACACCAAAGCUAAAGACAUCAGACUUUUCUGAGAAAAACCCAUCCAAUNNNNNNNNNNNNNNNNNNNNNNNNNNNNNNNNNNNNNNNNNNNNNNNNNNNNNNNNNNNNNNNNNNNNNNNNNNNNNNNNNNNNNNNNNNNNNNNNNNNNGGAGACAUGUAGCCACUGCAUUGAACCAGUUAAAAACACUACUCAGUUAAUUGGGGAUGCAAUCAUGCAACUACUUGCAUUUUACCAUACACAAUAUGCAGUACUUACUAAGUUCCAACUACUCUGUUUGUGCUUGCUUCUACUUGCUUACUCUCAAAAAUCCUUGCCAAGCCAAAGUCUGAAAUUUUGGGAUUCAUCUCGUCAUCAAGUAGAAUGUUGCUUGUUUUCAAGUCUCUAUGGAUAAUCUUCAAUCUUGAAUCUUGGUGAAGAUAAAGUAGCCCUCGAGCAAUUCCCAAAAUGAUAUCAAAUCGCUUCUCCCAGUUCAGUAACAGGCAUAGAGUUUGAUCUUGCAAUGUUCCCAUUGGAAAGCACGACUUCAGCAUGUACACGUUGUAAUAUGGGAGAAAAAAAAAAGGAACUUUUAGGCAGGUUAGAGGCAAACCAAAUAUGAAGGAGUCUAAGCUUUUGUUGGGCAUGUAUUCAUAGAGUAAAAUCUUCUCAUCUCCUUCAAUACAAUAGCCCAAAAGUCUAACCAAAUUUCGAUGCUGAAGUUUGGCAAUUAACACAACCUCGUUCUUAAAUUCCUGUAAGCCUUGUCCCGAAGCUCUUGAGAGUCUCUUUACUGCAAUUUCUCGCCCUUCAGGAAACUUUCCCUAGAUGCCAUAGCGCAUGGUAUUAGACAGACAAACCAGAAACCUUGAAAUGAGACUAAUGUGGAAAUUAAGGACUAUUACUUUGUAAACUGGCCCAAAGCCCCCCUGUCCAAGCUUAUUUGCAUCUGAAAAGUGAUCUGUAGCAGCCAGUAUGUCUUCUAAGUCGAAAAAUGGUACGUCAAUGCCUUUCUUAUCAUCUUCUUUGAAUUGCUCAGAGUCUAUUAAGUCUUUCACACGGCUCUCGCUAUGAUACAAGUGAAGCCCUGGAUUUGUUCUGUUUUCUGAAUUCAGAAACAAGACUACAUUAUGAAGAAGUCCCCUAAAAAUAUUAUCAAUUCUGCCAAUCAACACGAAACAAAAAAAGACCAGAAGUUAAAUGGUGGCGCAAAUAGCACAAAGAUUACCUUGCCCUUUGGAGAUGGUUCUUUUUCGAAAAUAAGCAAUACAACCAAUGAUGCAUAGAAGUGCAACUACUACAACAGCAGUUACUAUGCCUACCACAACUACCAGAGCCGAGGAUGAUGAUGAUGACUUCUGGUUUGCAGGUGUUGGAGCCUCCGCAAGAUUGCCACCAUCUGAAACAAAGAAAGACCACUCUCAUUCAUGGAGAAGGCAGCGCAUCUGCCAUUACUAAUCACUGUGUCUUUCAAUGCAAUUUAGCAAUAUGCUUGCUGAAAAUCAUCCUCACCUUGUGUACAAUUUAAACUGGAGCUGUUCCAUUUGAAGUUUUGAUUACAAAAACACCUCGUUCUAUUUUGCGUUCUGCAACUCGAAUUUGGCCAGUCCUUGCAGUCUGUUGCUGAGUUACAAACCGGCUCUGGUGGUGGAUCCCAACUUAUUUCAAUUUCAUACUGACCUUUCAUAGGCAUGCUGGAGCUAGAUUUUCCUGUGUCAGCAUUGCACCAGCUAGCUAUCCUGAAAGGUGGAUUGAGCUGCAGUAUCUUCGUGUCUUGUGAAUUUCGUGCUUCGCAGUUAUCAAUAUCAUUCACUUGGAUGAGAAACUUCGAUCUCUCUGGAGUGAUGCUGGUUACUCGGUAGCUGCCAUUAGGUAAGGCGAACCAGACUUGGUCUGUGGCCUUGUCACAUCUGAAACUGAAGUACAUGGGAUCACCACAGUUUGGUCCAGUGCUUAGUGGAUAGGGGAUCAAGUUUGUGCCACAAGUUUCACAAUUUCUUACUGUUGAUUCUGCAGAAUUAGAAUGAAUUUCAUGCUUUUCCUCGUUAACAAUCAAUUAAAUUCAGAAGUAGAAGGGGGCAAGCAGAGAGGAUACCUAUAUCUGAUUUGGCCACACGGAGAGAAAGAUUAUAGCCAUCUGUGUUAUACUCCUGAAGACUACCGAGAUCUUCAGACCAAAUCCAGCACUUGGGAGGGGUGCUAGCACGGCCCCUUCGUAUCUUUCCAACUCCAGCAUAAGCUUGACAGCGACAGGUCUUAAGGCACUCUCUUCUGCAUUCACUUUCAUCCUUACCCAAAAACUCAAUGUCAUACUUUCUUACUUUAAUCAUCUUCAAGAUCAAGAAUGUGUCCCCACAGAGGGUUGUCUUUUUAGAACACCCACCUGAAAAAUCUCCAUUAGUCCAUCUCUCCAGCGAGUUAGGCUCGAAUCCAGGCAAACAUUUGCACAUAAAUGCAUUGUUAACAUUGCAAGAACCGAAAUUCCCACAAGCAUUCAACACACUGCAUCGGUCUUGCGGCGCCCACCAGAAUGCAGACCACUCCUCCGUAUAAUUAUCCCAAACUAGAUAUCUUAUUUCCCCGGUGAAAUUCAUCACCAACCGUGUAUAAGAACUGCGGACAAAUUGAGACCCAGUUGGUUUUUGUGUCUUGCUAAAAUUGGAUAAGAGCUCGGCUGCUGCAGAACUCAUUCCUUCUGAUUCCUCACUUCUCCAAUAUUUAACAAUUGAAUCUUCAAAUAUGAUAUACUGAUCUUUAUCAUCAUCUUUCUUGAAAGUAUAGUUUCCAGGUGCAGGGUCAACGGGGCUGACCCAUGAAGUCAAUGUUAAGUUUCCCUCCAUAAUCAUCCCAGGAAGAAAAGUAUCAGUUGGGUUCUUGAAACUCUCCCAAAGAAUCUUCCCAGAUCUGUUGUCGCUUAAAACAAAGUUCCCAGAAUCCAUGACCUUGGCCACCCUACCCAUAGAAGACGAGCUUCCAAGAUCAGUAAACCAGUAAGCUGCUCCACUUUCAUUCACUAGCUUGAGGUUACCGUCAUCUGCAAUGACAAGAGCUCCAACACUGUCGUCAGGAAGGGGGUUGUCUCUAUUGGCUACCCAUACAACUGUUCUCUCCUUCAACCCGUAGUACCAUAUGCCAAUGUAUUUUCCAUUGUUGAACCCUCCCUUGGGAAUAAAGAAGCCCAAUUCAAAAGUUUGAUUGGCUGAAACAAGAGUUCCUCUACCAUCAUCAAAAAGCAAAUUGUUUGGUGUGAUGGUAUCUCUAGCAGAGCAGCACAGGAUAGAACACAAGAAGAAAAAGAUUGCAGCAGCAUAUGAGUUGCAGAGUCUCUUAACCGCAAUUUCUCGUCCCUCUGGAAACUUGCCCUGGAAGCCACAGUGCAUAUGCAUUGGGCAUAUGUUAGAACUUGGUGACUUGAAUUCUAUUUGGUUCGACUCGAGAAGCUCACGACGCGAUAUAGGUAGUAAAGCUAAAAUUAUGAAUUUUUUUUGGGUCUGUAGUAGUAACAGAGGGAUCGGACCUAUUACUCUUUCAUGUAUAUAUAUGCAUGCAAUGAUGUAUAGUUUUCAGGAUUAUGAUGAUUAUGUUUUUGCUAUAGUCGUUUGUAUCUCAUUCCUCUUGUACUAAUUUUUGACAUAGUAAAAUUUCUUCUCCUCGUGGUCUUUCCUAUCUAGGGUUUUCCACACAAAUCUAUGUGUUCUUAUCCUGUUUUAUUUCUUAUUGCAUAUUCUCAUUUUUUUUGUAACAGCAUAGAUGAUGAGAAAUCAGUUGAAAAUGAGAGGAACAUGGAAGUUAAGAACAAUUACCUUGUAAACUGGCCCAAAACCUCCUUGUCCAAGCUUAUUUGCAUCUAAAAAGUUAUCUGUAGCAGCCAGUAUGUCUUCUAAGUCAAAAAACGGUACAUCAAUGCCUUUCUUAUCCUCUUCUUUGAAUUGCUCUGAGUCUAUUAAGUGUUUCACACGACUCUCACUAUCAUAUAAGUGAAGCACUUGAUUUGCUCUGUUCUCUGAACUCAAAAAAAAAAACAGAAAAUAUUGUAUAGAAGACCCUGAAAUAUUCUCAAUUCAGCCAAGCACAAGUCGAAAAGAAAAGACCAGAAGUUAUAGGCUAGUGCAUAUGGCACAAAGAUUACCUUUCCUUUUGGUGAUGGUUCUUUUGCGCAAACAAGCAAUAUAACCAAUGAUGCCUAAAACCGCAACUAGAACAACAGCAACUGUUAUGCCUACCACAACCACUGGAGAUGACGACGAUGACUUCUGAUCAGCAGGCUUUGUAGGCUCUGCAGGAUUGACACCUGAAACAAAGAAGGAACUGAAUUGAACUUCUCUCACCUACCCAGAAGGCAAAUUUAGUAAGAUACUUGGUGAACAGAAUCCUCACCUUGUGUACAAUUUAAACUUGAGCUAUUCCAUUUGAAGUUUUCAUUGCAAAAGCACCUUCUCGUUCCAUCUCGCGUUCCGCAGGUUGAAUUUGGCCAGUCCUUGCAAUCUGCUGAUGAGGUACACACCGGCUCCAAUGGUGGAUCCCAACUGAUCUCUACUUCAAUACUAUUUUUCAAUGACAUCUCAGAGCCAAAAUUGUCAGUUCCAACCUCUUUGCACACAUCAGUCAAGUGAAAAGGCGGGUUUAGUGGCGGAAUCAGACUUCGUGAACUGCAAUCUGCCUCUUUCAGUUGGAUUACAAAUGUUAAUGUCUCUGGGUUAAUGCUAGUUACUCGGUAGGCACCACCAGGUACCUUGAACUGAACCUGGCCUGUGGUAUUGUUACAUUCAAAAUUGAAGUACGUUGAAUCACCACACUUUGAUCCAGUGCUUAGAGGAUAAGGAAUCAUGUUUGAGCCACAAGUUUCACAAUUCCUUACUGUUGGUUCUGCAAAGACAGUAGAAUCCCAUGUGGGCAUUUCAGUUACAAAUAGUAUGCUUGUUUUUUCAAAGAAAAAUAAAAUAAAAUUGAAAGGGACGUACUUAUAUCUGAAAUAGCCACACGAACGGAGAGGUUGUAGGCAUCAGAGGCAUACUCCUCCUGAAGACCAGUAAGGUCAUCCGUCCAAAUCAAGCAUUCUAGGGCAUCAGGAACAUCUCUUCCUUGUUUGAUAUAAGUUUCAGCAUAAGCUUGACAUUGGCAUUUUUUAAGGCAAGCCUUUCUGCAAUAGUCACUAUCAUUCGGAUCUGCUGGAAUCACAGAGUCUCGCUUUCUCACUUUCAUCAUCUUAAAGCUCAGGAACAUGUCUUCACUGGAAUUCUUCUCGCAUAUGGGAGACUUUCUGGUACACCCACUUGAAAACUCUCCAGUUUUCCAAAUAUCCGGCGAGACGGGUUUGAAACCAGGUAAACAUUUGCACAUCAAAGCAUUGUUAGUGUUACAACUUCCGAAUUUCCCACAAGCUUUUGACACACUGCAUCGAUCUUGCGGUGCCCACCAGUCUGGAGAUGAUGUAUUCGGAUUCAGAUAGUACCGUAUUUCCCCUGAAGAGCUCAUCACCAACCGACUGGUAUUCUUAUACUUGGAGGACAGUAUUUCAAGGGGUCUAUUGUAGAAUUUUCUAGAGCUGGUUGGCUUACCGGUCUUGCUGAAGUUGGAUAACAAGCUGAGUAUUGCAUCUGGCAUUUCAUCAGGCGUUCCUUUCGAGUCCUCACUGCUCCAAUAUGAGACAAAUGAAUCAUGUAUGUUAUACUGAUCCUUAUUGUCUUGAUCUAGCUGGAAAGUAAAGUUUCCAGGUGUCGGGUCAACAGAACUCAGCCAUGAAGUCAGUGUUAAGUUUUCAUCCAUCUUCAUCCCAGGAAGAAAAGUAUCUGUAGGAUUAUGGAAGCUCUCCCAAAGAAUCACCCCUGAUCUGUUGUCACUCAAAACAAGGUUCCCAGAGUCCAUGAGCUUCACCACCCUCCCUGUAGAUGAAGAAGAUGUUUCAAUAUCAGAAGACCAGUGAACUGUCCCAUUUGCAUCCAAUACCUUGAGCUCACC
rnacentral:lncRNA from 1 species